rnacentral:lncRNA from 1 species
UUUUGUUGUCCCCUGUAAAAUCCCUGUCUCUUACAUGAUGGAGCAAGGGUCAUGGUGCUGGGCGUAUCCAUAUGACGGCAACUCUUGAUACACAUAUAGAGGUUGAUUAUAUGGCCACACAUACGCCGCUGGCUUUACCUCGUCUUUAUUCUCAGCUUUCUUCUCAUCCUUCUUUUCACCACCCACGGCACUCACGCUUACCAGCUCUGUAUGCCCCACACUCUUUCUUAGCUUACUUGUUAGCUUAACUGGAUCAAACCCAUCUCCUGUUACCUCUAUUUGGCUCUUGUCAUCGCCUUUCAAUGAAGCAGACUCCACUCCUUGACACACACCAAAAAAAAAAAAAAAUCAGCAAUCAGCAUAAAAAUUUUCCCAAAAUGUUAUCAUCAGAAUGAAUGAAAUCAAAGUGGGUUUCAGCUGGUUUUUACUACCUGAGAGACCAACUACAAUUUGCAAGGCCUUGGAGCGGGACUUCUCUCCAUUCAUGGUUACCUUGACUACAAUCUUUUGCUGCAAAAAGGAAAAUUUAAAUUCAACAUAAAAUUCAUCAAUCAAAGAAACUUUUAAUUUCAUGAUUAAUUUUCAUACCGUCAUGGUGUCGUUUAUCUGUUAAGAGAGUAGGAAAACGAUGGCAAUGGCUAGGGAAAGAUUUUUGGAGGAAGAAGCUAGAUAGGUACUAACUGCUUACUUGUUUUGUUUUGGCGGAGGCAGAAACGUUUUGUUGGUAUUUAUAGACCUUUGGGGAUUGAGAAUUUGCUAGGAACUUAGCUGUAUGAUAUCUUUGAAACUUCUAGGAACCGUUGAUCUUCAUUAUAAGCUGACCCCACCCAGCUUACUAAGUCAGCUCUUUCACUUUUGCUCCGUACUUCGUCGAACUUUACCAUUUAGAGUCAGUUCAAAUAAAUAUAUAUAUAUUUUUUUACAAAGUCGGUUUUGAAUCUUCUUCUUCUAAUAAAAUACAUAAAAAUUAAAGCAACUCGUACAUAUAACUCUCAUCGAAAUUUUAAAUUCCAAUCUUGUAAUCACCCUUGAUGAAGAAAGAAGCAUACUCAAAAAUUAAAGUUUAAUUUAAUUGAUUUUUAAAAUUAUUUAUAAAAAUUAAAUUGCAUCAUUUAUAAAUUUUUUAUUAUUUUCAAAUUAUAACUUAUUUUAUUAAAAAAAUAAAAAAUAAAGACAUGUUUGUGAGAUCAUGAAUCUUGAUAAAGACACAGGUUUGCUGAUACAAUUUAUUUAUUUUUUUAAACUUCAACAAUACUUUCACAUAGAGAUCUUCACCAUUAAAUCCUAAAUAUAAUUCAAAGAUUUUACGAAAUUAAAAAAAGAUAAACUUUCAUUGUUUAAAUCUCUUGCAGGAUUUGUUCAAUUAGCAAUGUGAUUGACUUACCAUAUACUUAGUUUUAUAGAGAAUAAGGAAAGAGAGGAUGUUUACGUAGCAUCUCAUUCUUCCUUCAUUUUUUUUUUAUUUAACUUUUAUAUUUAGUUUUUAUAUUUUAUUUUUAUUCGAUGAUCAAUAAAAUUAAAAAAUGAUAAAACAAUCCAUAUUUGAUUAGUUUUGAUUUGCAAGAAUCAAAUAUAGAUGUAUUUUCUUAAAAAAUCAAAACAGAUUUUUUUUUUUUUUUAAAUGAGAUAUCAGGUGAAAGAUGAAUUUAAAGUGUUUCAAUUUGUAUGGAGUAUCCAUGGGUCACCUCUCUCUCUCUCUUUCUUUUUCUUUUUUUACUUUUUAAAUUUUUUAUUUUUUGGGUUUUUUAUUUUUUAUUAAAUAAAAAUUUAUAACAAAAAAUCAAUUAAGAUAACUAUAAUUAGUUGAAGGUUUGAAGGCAAAUUAAGAUCAUAAACUUUUAUUAAAUGAAAAUUAAAAUAAAAAAUUUGAAAAAAGAAUAUAUUAGUAGAAUUUCAUGAUUUGACAAAUAAUAUUAAAAAUAAUUGAAAAUAAAACCACAAUUAAAAAUAUUACCAUAAUCUUUCGUAGAGAACAUUAUUUAAAUAAAAUAAAUUUAACAAACUCUAACAAUCCACAAGUUUUUAUUUAGAUUUAAUUUAAUCUUCAUUUAAUCAUUUUGAUUAAAACUUUCACAAUUAAUGGAGCUAUGUAACCUAUGACCUAAAGGUUAUAAAUCCUUUUAACAAGGUUUCAUUGGCUUAAAUUUUAGUUAUAUUCCUUUCGGUUUGGUACCAAUUAAUAAAUAGAUAUAACGAAAUAAAUAAAAAAAUUAUCAAUAAACUUAAUUUAAUUAAAUUCUAUAAUUACUUUUAAAUAAUAAUAUUUAAUAAUUUUAAAUUUUAAAUUUCAAUACCCACAGCCUACUCAUUAGAAUUUUCGGUUGGUACCAAUUAAUAAAUAGAUAGAACGAAAUAAAUAAAAAAAUUAUCAAUAAACUUAAUUUAAUUAAAUUAUAUAAUUACUUUUAAAUGAUAAUACUUAAUAAUUUUAAAUUUUAAAAUUCAAUACCCACAGCCUACUCAUUGGAAUUUUCUUCAUGCCCCGUAAAGUAAGAACUCGGCGACUAGCCGUAAGGUGAUCGAGGAAUUCAAAGGCUUUGCCAACUGGCGUAAAAGUCUCCACCAAUAAAAUAAAUUAGCUAGAGCCCUUCCAAGUCUACCCCAGAUUUGUCGGAUACAGGCGUUAGGUUAGGCUACGCGGUUUAGCCUCGCUCUUUUGCUUGACUCUCUCAGCCAACGGAUACGCCAACCCUUUUGCUUUCUCCCCUGUUCAUGGCCUGGUCCAAAGAAGUGUCGCUUCUUUCUAGUAUCACAGUUAUAUCCAAAUAAAGCUCCAUUUUUUUUUUUUUUUUACCACACUUUUAGAAAGACCUUUUUUUUUUUUUUUUUGGCUUUUGGGGCCAAAUAAAUGGAAAGUGGAAUCUCGGGUAUAUACAUGACUCAUUUCUUGUUUAGAUUGUAUCUUGAAAAAGGAAGAUUUUCUGUAUACUUUAAAGAUAUAAAGUUAAAUUGUUUAGAUCAAAUAAUUUAAAUCAAAAAUUAAAUUUAAUAAUUUAAAAUAUGAUACAAUAAUACGAUAUAAAUAUAACAUAAAAAUAAGAUAUAAAAGUAAUGUAUUUAAAAUUAUAGUGAUAUUUAUAUAUGUAUUUAAUAAAAUAAAAAAAUUAUAUUUUAUAUUUUCAUAUCAACAUGAAUUAUUAUACUUAAUUUUUAUAUAAAAUAUAAUAUAAAUAUAUGAAUUUUAAUAUUUUAUAUUAUACGAAUACAUAAAUCAUUAAAUUUAUUAAAAAAAUAAUUAAUGAAGGAACAAAGAAAAUAAUUUUCUUUGUUUUGUUCAUCAUCAUGGACUCGUAUAAUAGGCCAUUGGAUGAAAAACAUGUUUUGAAUGAAUAAGAUUAAAUUACUACUUAUUAAACUGAAUAAAAAAAGGAAUUGUAUUAAAUCUUCAUUUGACAUUGCUCUUAAAGCUAUAAAAUUUCUUGCAACGUUAAAUACUAGGGCUAAACCAACAAAAUAAUGAAAGAAAGCCAAAAUAGUAAAUUAAAUUAGAAAAAGAGGCGGAGUUUUAUAUUAAAGGGACCGAGCCCCUAGAAUAGCCCUUAGUUAAAUAAGAUAAGAUUUCUGAUAAAAAUCUCAAUUAUAAGAUGAAUUUUUUUUAAUUACAAAAGUAAUUACUUGCAUUUGGAGUUACUGUAAAUUUUCUCUCUCUCUCUCUCUCUCUCUCUCUCUCUCUCUCUCUCUCUCUCUUUUUGAUACAUUAAUCACAAUUUUUACUUUUAAAUGCAACUCUUGAUCACAAUCUUAAUGCCAAGCUUAAAUCCAAUCCUAGUUUCUCAUUUUAUUUUCCGAACAUAUAGUUGUUUUCUUAAUAAUAUGAAGGCAUAAAAUUGUAUUCCCAAUAUACCAUUUCCCAAUAGGCUUAAAGUAAUUUUAAAAUUAAUUAAAAUUUAUUAAAAAGAUAAUUUUAUGGUCUAUGAAACAAUCUAUGUUCGGGAGUCAGUUACGAUGAGAAAUGAUUAGUACCCCCACGACGCCCGUUUUAAAAACGGUAUCACUUAACUACGUGUUAUCCUUUGAUUUUGAUUAAAAACAGUCUCAUUCCUGAGUGUUUGAAAAAAUAAUUUUUUUGAUUUUUUUAUUUAUUGGAAAUUGGUUUGUUUUGUUUUAUUUUUAAAAAAUUAUUAUUCAAAUUUUAUUCGAGAAAAAUAAAUUAGAAUCUUUUUAUUGAAAUAAUUCUUAAAAUAUUUCAGUACGUUGGUAACAUUACAAGAAUUUUUUCUCACGUAGAGAUUUUUUAGGCAUCGCUUCUUGGAAUACCUUAGAAUCUCAUCUUAGGAGGUCUGAAUUUACUUUUCGUAAAAAUUAUGUCAUGUAUGCAAUGCAGAAUGUUAUCAUGUUGAUGCACACAUUUUAUUCUUUUUUUUUUAUAGAAAUUUUAUUAAUUAUUUUAUUAGGAGAACUUUUGUUAUAUUGAAGAUUUUAUAUAAAUAUUUCAAUACACCGGUAAUAUUUAAAAAAAAAUCCCCUCACCUAGGGAUUUUUUAAAGCACCUUUACUCGAAAUAUUUUUAGAAUCUCGUUAUUGGAUAGAAUUCCCUUUUUGUCUCAUUUUUUAUUACUUAUUCUUAAUUUAUUAAUUAGUUUUUAUUUAUUAUUAUUUUAUAAUAAAAAAGGAAAUUUUUUAUUUUAUUGAAAAUUUUUUAUAAAAUACUCCAAUACGCUGGUAGUACUUAAAAAAAUUUUCUCACCUAGAGAUUUCGUAAGUAUCACUACUCAGAAUAUUUGAAUCUCAUUGUCGGAUAAAAAUUUCUUUUUCUUACAUUUUUUAUUAGUUCUGUAUUAUUAUUAAAUUUGUUUUAUUUUAUUUUGUUUUUAAAGUUUAUUUUUUAAAAAAAUUAACAAAAUUAUAAAAAUUUUAAUUACAAUUUUAUCAUUUAAUCUAACAAAUAUGAAUAUUUUAAUAUGCAUAAAUUUUAAUAAAAUACUAUAUAAAAAAUAAGAAAAAAUUCAAAAAAAUUUUUUUUACCUAAACCGGACCGGUCAAAGGUCCGGUCAAUGCGUAGUUCGGUCUGACAGUUUUUGUGGGCUUCGGUUUGAUCUGGGCGGUUCGGUUGGUUCAACGAUUCGUACCAGUUCGGUUCGGUCGGGGUGGUUCAAUUCUGGUUUAAUCAGAUUGAUCAGAGGCUGACGAAGAAAGUGGGUCUCGGGUCGAGUGCGCUGACCUCGAGUCGAGUCACGGGUUGACGUGCAGAUCCUUAGGGUUCAAAAUGACGUCGUUUUGGCCUUUAAGCCUCUAUAUAUAACUGAAAAUUUUUUUUUUGUUCAUUCUUUUUCUGUUUUAGAAAAAAAAAAGGGGGAGAGUUCUGGGGAGAGCUCCAGAGCUUCCUCGCCAUCCGAUCGCGGACCGCCACGUCGACGGCCGUCGAGUCGCCGGUGGUGGUUGUUGCCGGUGAUCACCGAUGAUCGUCGAUGAUAAAAAAUUAUCGAAAUUCUCCGAAAUACUCCUCUCGAUCUCCUAAGUUCAGAUCCAUUGUCCUUUUUGGGAAAAAAAGCUCCGAUCAGCAUAGAUCUGGGUUUGAAGUAUUUUGAUUUUUCUAUUUUCAUUUUUUAUUUUUGAAAACCCGCACUGACCGCUCUCUUUUUUUGUUACAGGAAAGCUCUAGGCGCUGGGGUUCCUCGUCGAACGGCGAUGAUUGUGUUAUUUUAUUUUUUUUUUUGCAGGGUUCCCUUCCUUCUUCUUGUUUCCUUUCCCCCUUUUCUUGUUCGGCCAAGAGCUCUAUUUAUAGAGCUCCAGUAGUGAAUGGCACAAGGCUAGGCAUGGGGUGCAAGCACAAGCCCCAUGCUGCCUUUAUUUAUUUUUAUUUUAUUUGAUAACGAAGGUAGUGGAUAAGGUGUGGAUGUAGGAUAAGGGGGGAUGAGUGGUAGGAUAUGGUGACAGUGAUGUCGGGAAAGGCACCACUGCCAUUCCCCAUUUUUUUGUUUUAUUUUUUUUUAUAUCUUGUAUUUUAGUAUUUUUUUAAUAUUUUAUAUUCAAUAAUAAUAAUAAUAUUUUUUUAUCGUACAAAUUUGAUGUCCACAAUCAGCGAAUAGUUUAAAAUGAAUUUCAGGCCACGUCGGGAGACUUGCAUGAAUAUAUCCAAAUGAUGUCUGAUUUUUAUUGUUGCCUUUAGCAGGCUGCCGUAAACUAACCAUCAAAUUAGUAACAAACUUUCCAAAGAUCAUUUGACAAAUACCUUUAAAUUUUACUAUUUAUAAAUUUGAAAUAGACCAAAAUUUUGGAUCAGAAGAUAGGACUCCUAAUCUCUUGAGGUCAUAAAAUAAUGUUUAGAUUAAAACGUGACGCUCUUUUUUUAAACAUAAAAUAUGGUGGGAGAUUUGCUACUUCAACUCUCAGGUCAUGAUGUAGAUUAUUUACUUAAAAUUUUCGAUUCAAAAAGUAUCCAACAUGUAAGUAGAGAAGAAGAGAAGUAAUCUCGUUAUCAGCUGAUGUUAAUUUCCAAAGUGGAGUUGUCCUUUUCUGUUUCCGAGAGCCAAUCUUUAAUUUCUUUCUUCACUUUGUUAAUUUGAGAGUGACCCUAUACAUGUGAAAAAUGCCUAUACAUGAUGUUGAUGAUGGUGAUGAUAUUUGAAGGGCGUCACCUUAAUCACUAAAUUAUUCAUUGCAUGUGUCAAAGAAAAUGUAAAUUAUUCUCUAGAGAAUAAAAAUGUUAAGUAUUUAUGAAUUAAGGUGAAAAGAACAGAUUAUAAUAUAUGAUACAAGGUCACUUUCCGCUUGCGUUGCGGCGCAUAUUAUAUAUUUUUUAUUGUAUUUAAUAAAUUAUACAUACAUUUUUUUCUCAAAGUAUAAAUUCUAUGAUAAGAUUGGAUUCCUAUGGACUGAUGUAAUACCAAUUGCAUCAAUAAUUGAUUCUCUGUUGAGUCCAGCCAGAAACUUCACCAUCUUACGACUCACUCCUACUUACCCUGGAGGCAAGCACUGGACAGUAAUCUUUCUAUCUCGCCACCAAAAAUGCAUAGCAAUUUGCCAAAAAAAAAAAAAAAAGAGGCAAACUAAUACACAACAAACCAUAAAUACAUUUCUUUAAUUAAAGAAAAAUCAUGUUGAAACUUUUUUGCAAGAAAAGGUUUCAACAAAAACAGAAGAUGUAACUAGAUUUACUGUUGAAGUUGCUGCAGGUGGAUUCUCCCUAGCUUCCUGAUUACUCUCUAAUAACAUCAUUACAUGCAACGUUUAAUCAAUAUCACCAAAAAAGAAAAAAAAUCACUAAUUAAUGGUAAUUUAGACUUACAAAAAUAAAUACAAUUCUUUAAGUUGUUACAUACCAGCCGGUUAUGUAUUUUCUGACUACUGGUUGUUCAUAAACUACUCACAAUGAUUUCAGCAUCAACAUCAUCUCACACACAACGUGAAAUGAAAUACUCCACUGACUCGUCCGAUUGAGGUGCUAGCUAGAAAUAUGCCUACCAUAAAAUACAACCCAGACUUGUCCAAUUGUCUAAAUUAUGUUCUUCGAAACCUUUUAAAGGCAUUAUAGACAUCCAAUUUGAUCCAAACUUGGAUCAAUUGGACCUGAUCUAAUGAAAUUAGUUAAGUUCAGGAUUGGGUUUAAUUAAAUAGUUAUUUAUUUAUUUAUCUAUUUAUUUAUUUGUUUUUUAGAUUUUAUCUAUUUCUGAUUAAUUUUUGUUUGAUAUCAGGAGAUAGUGAUAAAAAUCAAAAUAAUUAAAAAUAAUAAAAAAAAGAAUGAAUCCUGUCAUGAAUAAGGCUAGUAGAGAGUCAUAGGUGGAUUUAACUUGCAUAGAAUAAGUUUAAUAAUUAAUCUGAUAAUCCAGAAACUUAAUCAAAGAAGGAAUCCUGAUUAAUUAGAAAUUUUGUGAUUGAUCCCUAUAAUACCUAUUGAUCAAAAGCAAAGAGACACACAAAAAACAAACAAAGAGAAAACAAAAGCAAAAAAAAGUGUUUAGAAGAGCAAAGGCAGUUCUAGAAUUUUUAAGAUUUUUUUUGAAUUUUUAGCUUUUUUUUUUUGAAAAUUUUUUGGGAAUUUUUCAUAUUCAAGUCAAUUUUUCAAUGCUGUUUAAAUUUUCUGGCGAGAUUCCAGUGAACUCCUUAGUUUUUGACCAGUUCUCCAGUUUCUAGCAUCAUAUCUCUAGAAAUCGUUGAAUUUUUUGGUGAACUUCUGACAAAAAACUAGAUUUCGUUAAAUUUUUUCAAAAUUCGGUGAAAUUCAAUCGGUGUCCUUAGGAAAAUCUAGAGAGAGAGGGACAGAAAAUGAGAGAAGAGAAAGAGGGAAGAGGGGAAAUCUGAUGAAAAAGGUCAAAAUUAGCCUUUUAUACUAUCGUAAAACGAUGUCAUUUUGGGCGCUAAGAGACCUCCAAGGAUCCGCGCAUUUCUAUUUGGUCCAACCCGACCUGAGCACAACCUACUUUUGGUCGACCCACGUUCCAGCCAAACCUUCAGUCGAGCCAAACCGCCUGAGCCACGCCUUCUAACCGUUUAUGUGCCUCAAGCUAAGUUAUUUCAGUUGCAAGCCGAGCCAUUUUUUUGGUAUUUUCUUUAUUAUUUUUUCUUUUUCUAUUUAUUUUUAUGUGUUUGUUUUGUUUUUUAAUAUUUUUGCAUGAUUUAAUUUAAUAAAAAAAUAAAAAAAAUAAAAAAAUAAAUUUUAGGAAUAAAUAUUAAUUAUCUAAUGAUGAAUUUUAUAGAAAUUUUAAAUGUUAAAUUUUUAUAAAAUUUUUAGGUGAAAAUUUUUGUCUAAAUUUAUCCAAAAUGGUGGAAUAAUUUAAAUAAAGAUUCAAUAACAAUAAUUAAUAUUUAUUUUUAAUCCAAAAAAAAUAAAAAAAAUAAAAAUUUGGGUUGAAAAUAUUUGAUAAUUAUCCAAGGAGAUUCUUAAAAAUUUCAAAUGGUAAAUUUUUAAGAAAUCUCUAGGUGAGAAAUUUUCUUUAAAUUUGUCCCAAAUGGUGAAAGAAUUUAAGUGAAAUUUCAAUAAAAAUAAUUGUCAUAUUAUUUUCUUUCCAAAAAAAAUAAUAAAUAAAAAAAUUUCUAAAUAAGCUCAAAUGGUGAAAAAUUUAAAAAUUUUAAAAAAAGAGAAUAUUUCUAAUUUGGUCUAAAUGGUGAAAUAAUUAGAUAUAUUUUCAAUUGAAAUAAAAAAAAUUAGACAUUUUUCUGACGACAGAGCCUUUUCAAGAAAAUAAAUGGGAUUCUUGAAUACUCCUGAGGUGAGAAUAUUUUUAAGAGUUCUACCAAAUUGAUGGAGACUUUUAAGAAUUAUUUCUACUAUUUUGAUAUAAAAAUUAAAACAAGUAGAAUCAAGACCUUAGGAUAAAUUUAAAAUAAUAUAGUACCAUCUUUCGGAUGGGCAUGUGGGGGUGCUAUAACUUUUUCCAUAUGUAACCGAACUUCCAAACCUAGUUCUGGUUAGCAUACCCAAACCUAUUCUUUUAGAGACCCUUAGUCAAGCUUAUGAGCUCCUUAAAAUGAUAGAUUAUUUAGGUGGCCAAUCACACAUAGAUAAAAAAGAUUAGUGGCGACUCCAUUUGUUAAAUCUAGCUAUAGAUUUUCGGAUCUAUAUGUUAUGACAAUUUGACAACUUCACUGGGAAACUGCCAUAGAGAGUCAGGCCAUAACUUUUAAAUUUAUCCUAUCCUUUGAUCUAAUGGUUUUAAAUUGUAAUUAUUUGUUUACUAACUUUUUUUUUACUUGUAUUUUAUUUUUAGGGCAUGAAACCUAUAUGUUCAUUCACAUACACUAUCAUUUGCAUUUGCAUUACAUGAGCUCUAUACCCGAGCUCUGUCCCUAUUAGGAGGGAGUAAAGUACCUACGCUCUCAUGAGAUGAUAAUCUCCGUAAUGGCUAGUGAAAUACUCCCACUCAAAUUGAAUCUUUUUUGUUAGUAGCCUGUGAUGGGUGAGGAUUGGACUGCCUUACUAGUUUGUGAUGGACGAUGAUGUAAGAAACAAUUUGAGAACCUUUAGUGGUCAAAAUCACCUAACCUUGCAUAUAGUCACAUCUAAGAAGCCAGCCUUAGGAUAGAGCCUUUCCUACCUAAUUGAUAGAUAUAACCUGAAAUUAGGACACAAGAAUGAAUAUUUUGUAUAUUGCUUAUCUAACUAUAUUGUUUGUCUGACUUUGUGCAUCUACAUCAUUUUAUUCUAUGCAUCAUUUUUCUGCUCAUGUUUUAACGUUAUCAUUUACAUUAUUCUCAUAUAGGAAAUAUAUGUCACAUAUAAGUUAUUGUUAAAUCAAAUCUCACAUUUACAUCUAUAGAAAGCCAAAUGCAAUCAAAGUCUGUAUCAAUUCGCCAUGAAUCUGUUCAUCAAUUGAAAAUUAAGUCAGAGGAAGGUUAAAGAAAAUAGGGUGAUUGCUUGCCUGAGGGUUUUAUUUCAUCAUUUCCCAAGAGAAUUCAUCUCGACCUCCAAUAGAAUGACUUGACUGACUUAAACAAUAUCUAGAGAUGCAUGAAUAGAGCAAGGCACGAGGUAUUUGAGAACAAAUAUAGGGACAUAGCAUCAUUGCUCUAAGUGGAUGUGGACAAUAAUCUAAUUAGAGCCAUUAUUCAAUUUUGGGAUCCUUCUUAUAGGUGUUUCAUCUUUAAUAAAGCAAACAUGGUGCCCAUAAUUAAAAAAUAUAUAGUCUUACUUCGCCUUGAUUUGUCAAACCCGGAUAAGAUCUACUGGUCAAAUAAGGUAAGUUAUCGUAAAAAAUUGGUGCAAAUGCUUGGACUUAGCCUGCCCCAAGUUGAUGCAUAUGUCAAGAUAAAAGGUUAAGGUAAGGCUAUCCCAUAGAGUUUUCUGCAAGAUUUUAUCCAAAGGCAUAUGGAUGAUGAUCAGGGGUUAGUGGCCAUGACUAUAGCUCUAUAUAGACUGAUGGUCUUCCCAAAAGUCAUCGAGUAUAUUGAUGUCAUAAUGAUAAACUUUGUUAAUCAGCUAGCAUACUAAGUCAAUGCAGCUCCAAUCAUUUUAGCGAAAACCAUUCGCUCCUUGAAAUUUUGCCAUAAAAAUGGUAAAGGUCAAUUUAAUGGAUGCUCACAAUUGCUCUAUGUAUGGAUAAAAGGUCAUAUUAAGUGUGAAGAAAGCCAGUUUCAUAAACGGUGCCUAUAUUCUAGCAUUUCAAUCAAAGAGUUUUGUAACAGCACAUGGCCUAAAGCAAAGUCAAAAGAAUAAUGGGUUUCAUACUUUCGGACCCUUGAUGGUCAAGGGAUAGUCUGGAGAGCACCUUAGAUGCGUUAUGACACAAAAUUGUAUAGUUAUGGAAAUCAACUUUGAGUGUUUCUAUUAGGCCUGUGGGGUGCUAUUACUUAAGCCCUAACUUUGGUGAGAAAAUAAUUCGGAUGUGAAAAAUUUAUUCCAGAAACCCAUGGACUUAGCUAAUGAGAAUUCUCUUUCACAGAAAAAAGGGCGUAUGGAAUGAUUGAAAAGAUAAAAAAAAACAUGAAAGCAAACUAUCCGAGUUGACCAAGGGAGGUUCACCUACAACAUCACCCCAUAAUAUAUUGUGUGGCAUGCAAGGAGGGGUAAAGAUAUUGUACUUCCUCGAGAGUAGUUAGACAACCAGUUUUUAAAGUCGAUCCCUCAAGACCCCUGGUUCAAAGUGAAAACAGAUAAAAGGAAACUCCAAACCGAGAAAGAUGAGUUGGAAUAAAAAAAUGAACAAUUAAAGCUGAAAUAUAAUAAAGCUCAAAGCUUCGAAAAUAGGAAAUCCAAAACCUCAGAGCAAAAAGAUUAAUGGAAAGCCUUAUUCAAUGAUCUGGACAUGACACAUUCAUCAGUCACGUUCGAGCUUGCUCGACUAUUAAAAAAAAUGAAUUACUAAAAGUGAGGGUGGAAGAAGGAUAAAAAGCCACUACUAGGGCACAUAGACAUAGUCAAUGAUACAAAAGAUAGUGGAUCAAUGCACAGCAUAAGUAGAAGCUUUGUCUAAUAAAUACAGAAAACAAGCUAAACGGGGUGAGCUAUGAAAGGACAUGUAUACAGAAAAACAAAUGCAUCUAAGGCACUUGUUCGAUCAGUUAUGCGUUGUUACAGUCAAGGCAUCAAAAAUAGAAGAAAAAAUGAAAAAUUUAAAGGUUGUGGUGCAACCAGUGGGAGCUCAUGGCCAAUAAUUGCUUGGUUUCCUAAAUGAGACACAAAAUCAUUACCAGCAAGCUAAAAAAUUUAUAAAGGCAUUAGAAAUAAUGAUGCAUAGGACUUUAAGAUACUAUUAUGGCUUUAUUAGGAUGUACUUUUAAAAUUUUAUUUGAAAUUAAGAUUUUUUAUCAAUAAUGAUGAUGUGGCAAAUAUUAGUAUAUCCCAUUCAUGCAUUUGCAUAUUAAACUUACAUGUAUAAUUUCUAAUAAUCAUAUAAUUAUGGUACUCAAGGUUCAAGGAUAGCUCUAUCCAGCAGAAACCCCAUUCAUCGAUAUAACACAAAAGCUAGAGCUAGACAAAUGGAAUAAGAAAACUCUCAUCGACUUGAAAAGAUAGAAAAGGCAUAGGAAAAGCUUGAAAAUGAGUUGAGUAAGAUUAUGGAUACUCUUAACAAGUUAAACAAAGGAAAAGGGAUAGAAGAUAACACAAACAAACAGGGCCUUUCAUCAUAAGAAAUGGUCGACCCUCUAUAUCCUCUCGGGUUUAGUCCACAACAAGCCCAGUCCACACAGGAUAUAUCGCCAUAGUAGUUUACAUAUCUUGUAUACCCUGGAAUGUCAUCAGUUUCGAACCCAUGGUAUUACCAUAGCUAUGUGAAUCCUAUCUUUACUGAAAAGAUAAUAGAACCGAUCCAAGUUCUCGAUCUAGAUGACUUGAAAGAAAAAAAGAAAAAAAAGACAAAAAUGGUUUAAUCUCAGGAAGACUCGAAGAUUAGUAUGUUCAAACAAAAGUUAUGGGUUGUGAAAGGAAUUGAUUUUUAUGGUUCUAUCGAUGUUGCUGGGCUUUGCUUAGUCUCGAAUGUGAUUAUUCUUCUAAAGUUCAAAGUACCAAAAUUUAAGAAAAAUGAUGUUAUGAAGUGCCUAAAUACUCAUAUUACCAUGUAAUAUCAGAAGUUGGCAGCCCAUACCCAUAAUGAAAAACUACUAAUGCAUGUUUUUUAAGAUAACCUCACUGGCUCCACUACUAGGUGGUAUGUCUAAUUGGACAAAAUUCGUAUCUGUACUUAGAACGAUAUGGCUCAUGACUUUAUUAGUCAAUACCGACAUAUCAUAGACUUAGCUCCUGAUCGUUUGUCUUUGUAAAAUAUGAAAAAAAAAUUAAAUGAAUCAUUCAAAAAAUAUGUCCAGAGGUGGAGGGAUGUAGCCUCUCAAGUGUAACUCUUCUAAUUGAAAAGAAAACUACAAUAUUGUUUGUUAGCACCCUAAAAUCUCCCUAUUAUGAAAAGAUGAUAGGGAAUGCAACAAAAAAUUUUGCCAACAUGGUAAUCUUGGAUGAAAUCAUAGAGAAUGUCAUUAAGAAUGGUAAGUUAGAAGGAGAGAAAGCAUCAACUAAGAGAACCCUAAAAAAUAAAGAGACUGAAGCUCAAGCUAUAUGUGGGGCACAUGUCAGUGGACAUAUGAUGGUGAGACAGGUCAUGAGAACAGAAUACUACUGGUUGACAAUGGAGAGUAAUUGCAUUGACUAUGCUUGUAAAUACCAUAAAUGUCAGAUAUAUGCUGAUAAGAUUCAUGCUCUGCCAUCUGUUUUACAUGUUAUGGCAUCACUUUGGCCAUUCUCAAUGUGGGGCAUGGAUGUCAUUGAUCUUAUCACCCCAAAGGUUUCUAAUGGGCAUAGAUUUAUUUUUAUGAUGAUAGAUUACUUCACAAAAUGGGUAGAGAUAGCAUCAUAUGCAAAUGUAACAUGAUUUAUGGUUUGCAAGUUUAUAAAAAGAGAGAUUAUCUGUAGAUAUAAACUUCUGAAAAGAAUUAUUUCAGAUAAUACCAAGAAUCUAAAUAGUAAGAUGAUGCAAGAAAUAUAUGCUCAAUAUAAGAUCAAGCAUCAUAACUCGGCACCAUACCGUUCAAAAAUGAAUGGGGCAGUUGAGAUAGUCAAUAAGAACAUAAAAAAUUUUUUUAAGAAGAUGACUGAGACUUAUAAAGAUUGGUAUAAGAAGUUACCAUUUACACUGCAUGCAUAUCGAAUAUCAGUGCGUACCUCUACUGGGGCAAUCUCAUUUUCUUUGAUUUAUGAGAUGGAAACUAUACUACUAGUGGAAGUGAAGAUCUCAUCCUUAAGGGUUAUAAAAGAAAUUGAAUUGGAAGAAGCUGAAUGGAUUCAAAAACACUAUGAACAAUUAAAUUUCAUAAAAAAAAGAAAAUUGGCUGCAUUGUGCCAUGGUCAGCUAUACCAAAGAAGAAUGAUGAGGGCUCAUGAUAAAAAGAUUCAACCCUGUUACUUUCGAGAAGAAGAGUUGGUCUUGAAGAGAAUCCUCCCAACCUAGAAUGAUAAUAGAAGAAAAUAGACUCCGAAUUGAGAAUAAUCGUAGGUGGUGAAACAAGUUUUCUCGGGUGGAGCACUGAUACUGACUGAGAUGGAUGAAAAUAAUUUAUCACAUCCUAUAAAUUCUGAUGCUGUGAAAAAAUACUAUGCUUGAAAAAAAAAAUAAAAAAUGAAAUGAAAAAAAUGAAAAAGAAAAAAAUGAAAAGAAAAAAGAAACAAGAAAAGAAAAAGUGAAUGAAAAAGGAGGACUCAAGGCGAAAACCCUAAAAGGACGGUUUGAGUCAUAGGGGGUUUAUUAAAGUUAAAAACCUAAAAAGACAACUUAGAUAAGGAGAAUACAGCAUCAAGUUUGAAAAUCCGUUGGCAUGAAGACUAGCAAAUUCGGAGGAGCUCUAAGUUGUUGAAUGCAUUGGAUGGUUGAGUUUUCAUAAAAACCUUGAGAUAUGUUAUCAGGAUUGUCCAAUUGUUCAUUUUUGGGCAUUAUCUCCCCAUACUUAUCCUUGUAAUCCUUUCUUGGCCAAAGUUUGCCAACAUUUUACUAAUGAAAGACAUUCUAUUUCACUCUUUGUGUGUCUCUUCUGUUGACUGUUUCUCAACCAUUCUUAUUUUUUUCUUCUUAAUACCCUACAAUGGAAGAAAUGUGCAAAUGCAUUCUUACUUUUUGAGUUUGGAAUAAUGAUUAAUAAAUGAACAAUGGCAUGAAAGAUUUUUUCAUUACAUUGGAAAGGUUAAGAAUGAUAAAAAAAAAUUUGAGAUGUUUAGUUUCCAAUAAGGACAUUGAAUUUGUAAAGAGAUUGCCUGCAGAAGGGAUACUAGAAUUAAAUGAAAGAGAGGAUUAAAAGUUACGUUGACUUAGUCUUUGAAGAACAAAGGGUUUGAUGCCUAAGAAAAGAGCUUGAGAAACUUGAGUACCACAAUUGAAUAGGAAUUAAUUAGCCAACAUUUGCAUAGCAUGCAUUGAAUCUCGCAUGCAUUGCAUAGCAUAUACUACAUUCAAGAAAAUAUAGUGCAUAAAUUCAAGAAGCAAGGGUAUUCCAACAUCCCACAUAGAGAAGACAGAUGUGAAGACAUUUUCAAAUUUGAGAAAAAGCUUUUCAGGCAAGUUUAUAAUCCUUGAAAUAGGAUGUCUCUCGGUAUCAAGGUUGAUUUGUAAAACCUUUGGGAAUAAUCUCCUGAAAUUCUUUCAAACAUGAUUUUCAACUCCUUUGGACAUGAUUGUCAAUGAGCAAUUUAUUUUUCAAAUUUGUGAUGCCUCUGUUUAGAGAAGCAACCUAUUUUUCAAAGUUGUGAUGCCUCUAAUUAGAGGAGCAAUUUACUUUUCAAAAGUCGUUGAGCCUCUGUUUAGAGGAGCAAUUUAUUUUUCAAAAGUUGUUGAGCCUUUGAUUAGAGGAGCCUUUUAUUUUUAAAAGUUAUUAAGCCUUUGUUUAGAGGAGCUUUACUAUCUUUUCAAAAGUCGUUGAGCCUCUAUUUAGAGGAGCUUUAUUUAUUUUUUCAAAGUCAUUAAGCCUCUGCUUAGAGGAGCCUUCGUUUAUUCUUUCAAAGUUGUUGACUAUCUGUCAUUGAGCCUCUACUUAGAAGAGCUUUGAUCAAAAUUUAAAAAAAAAGUAAAAAAAAAAAAGUGUCAAGUUGAGUCUUGAAUGGGUGUAUGUCUUUGCACAAUUUCUGUUUCACAGAAAAUGUAUAAAGAGGGGCAGCUGUAGACACUCAAUUGGUCCAGGCCUGGAUCAAUUGGGCCUAGUCCAAAUGGGUAGCGCAUUUCAUUCUAUUUUAUUUUAUUUUUUAUUUUGUAUUUUAUUUAUUUAUUAUUACUAUUUAUUAAUAUAUAUUUAUUAUUUAUCUGUUAAUAUAUAUACUUUAUUAUUAUUUAUCUAUUAUUAUUAUUAUCUAUUAAUAUAUUAUCUUUAUUUUAUUUAUUUUUUUCUUUCUUUCUUUUUCUGCUUACCCUAUUGGAAUUGGGAUUAAGAGCAACUGAAAUCUAGCAUGAAUUUGGGGCUGGCGGAGUUGGGAUUGGAUUCAAAGAUUGAAUCCAAAUCCCAGAGGGAAUUGGGAUUGAUCAGAAACUCUUCUGAUCAAUCCCUAUAAAUAGAUGCUGGAAUAGAACAAAAAAAUAGACACUGAUAGAGAAAAUAAAUAUUAGGAGAGAGGGAGAGCAGAAGAGAAGAAAAAAGGCAUUCAAAAAAGUCAGAAACAAUUUCAAGAACUUUUUAGAAAAUUUGGGAGAAUUUUAGGCGAUUUUUUUCUGAAAAUUUUUGGAAAAUUUUCAGAUUUCGAUUGAAUUUUUCGAUAAAGUUUGAAUUUUUUGAUGAAUUUUUUGGCACCUGUUGAAUUUUUCGGCCAGCUAUCCAGUUUUCGGUAACUAUUUCCAGAAACUGACCAAAUUUUCAAUGAACUUUCGAUAAAAAACUUAGAUUUUGAUGAUAUUUUCCAGAAUCCAGUGAGAUUUAAUCGGAGUUCUUCAUCCGGGUAGAGAAAAAAAUGAGGAAAAAAAGGGAAAAGAGAGAGAGGAAAUGAGAGAUCUGCUGAAAAACAGAGGUUAUAGCCUUUUAUACCUAUUGAAAACGACGUUGUUUUGGGGUUACUAUUUCCAGAGGAUUCGCCCGUUUUGAAAUCGAGUGACCUAACCCGAGCAUCGACCUGCGUUUGACCCGUGUGUAACCUGAGUACGAGCCAUUUUUGAAGCCCAACCAAACUGACCCGAGUCGUAUCUCCUAGCCGUUUUCUUCCUUAAGUCGAGCCGAGUCGAGUCGAGCCACUAAGUCGAGCCGUUCGAAGGUUUUUUUUUCAUUUAUAUUAUUUAUUUAUUUAUUAUUAUUAUUAUUUAUUUAUUAGGUUAGAAUUAUUUAGUAUUUCUUAUUUUAUUUUAUUUUUAUCUUUAUUUUUAUUUUCUUUAAAUAAAAUUCCAAAAAAGUAUCAAUUUUUCUUAAAAAUAAGUUUUUCUAAAAAAUAUUUUUGAGGAAAGUUGAAAGUAUCAAUUUUUCUUAAAAAUAAGUUUUCUAAAAGAUAUUUUUGAGGAAAGUUGAAAGUAUCAAUUUUUCUUGUACGAAAGCAAUAAGUUUUUUUUUUAAGAGAAAAAGAUUUAUACCUAAAGCUGAAUCAUUUUUUUCUUUUUUUUUCGUUUUACUUCUUUUCCUUUUUGUUUUCUUGAAUUUUCUUUGAUGUAAAAUAAUCCGACGAUAAAGCCUCUGUAAGUAAAACAAUAGUCUCUUUGCAUACUCUUAAGGUGAGAAAAUUUUUUUAAUUUUCUACUAAAAGUAUUAGAGUUAAUUGAAAAUAAUUUUCAGUAGUUAAUUACUUGAUAAAUUUUUAAGGCUUAUUGGAUAAUACAAAAUUAAGCUGGUAUCAUCUUUCAAUGGGCGUUGUGAGGGUGCUAUAACCUUCCUCACACGUAAUCGAACUCUCGAACCCUAUUCUGGUUAGUAGACCUGAAUCUAUUCUUUUAGGGACUCUUAAGUUUAGGUGCUCUUUAAAAUGAUAGAUUCCUUAGGUGGCCAAUCGCACAUAGAUAAAAAAAAUUGGUGGCGACUCUUUAAGUCAAUGUCUAGCGAUAGAUCCCCGGAUCUAUCGUUAUGACACCUAAUUUUGGCCAACCCGCGUUCUAGCCAAACCUUUAGCCGAGCCGAACCGCCUGAGCCACACCUUCUAGCCGCUUUUGUGCCUCAAGCUGAGCCGUUUUAGCCGCAAGCUGAGCCAUUUUUUUGGUUUUUUCUUUCUAUUUAUUGUUAUGUGUUUGUUUUCUUUCAUAAUAUUUUUGCAUGAUUUAAUUUAAUAAUAAAUAAUAAAAUAAAUAAAAUAAAUUUUGUGAAUAAAUAUUAAUUAUCCAAUGAUGAAAUUUAUAGAAUUUUCAAAUGGUAAAUUUUCAAAUGGUAAAUUUUUAUGAAAUUUUUAGGUAAGAAAUUUUGUCUAAAUUUGUCCCAAAUGGUGGAAUAAUUUAAAUAAAAUUUUAAUAACAAUAAUUAAUAUUUAUUUUCAAUCCAAAAAAAAUAAUAAAAAAUAAAAAUUUGGGUUGAAAAUAUUUGAUAAUUAUUUAAUGAUGAAAUUCAUAGAAAUUUAGAUGAGAUUCUUAAAAAUUUCAAAUGAUAAAAUUUUAAGAAAUCUCUAGGUGAGAAAUUUUCUUUAAAUUUAAAUGGUGGAAGAAUUUAAGUGAAAUUUCAAUAAAAAUAAUUGUCAUUUUAUUUUCUUUCUAAAAAAAUAAAAAUAAAUAAAUAAAUAAAUAAAUUCUAAAUAGGUCUAAAUGGUGAAAAAUUUAGAAAUUUUGAAAAAAAAUAUUUUUUAAUUGACCCAAAUAAUGAAAAAUUUAGAAAUAAAUAAUAAUAAUAAUAAUAAUAAUUUCUAAAUAGGCCCAAAUGAUAAAAAUUUUAGAAAUUCAAAAAGAGAGAAUAUUUCUAAUUUAGCCCAAAUUGUAAAAUAAUUAGAUAUAUUUUCAAUAAGAAUAAAAAAAAUUAGACCUUUUUUCGAUGACGGAACCUCUUCAAAAAAAUAAAUGAAAAUUUUGAAUACUCUUGAGAUGAAAAAUAUUUUUAAAAAUUCUACCAGAUUGAUGGAGAAUCUUAAGAAUUAUUUUCAAUAUUUCGAUAUAAAAAUUAAAAUCAUUAAAAUCAAGACUUUAGGAUAAAUUUAAAAUGACACGGUACAUCUCAUCGGAUGGCAGUAGGGGUGCUGUAACAUUCUCCAUAUAUAACCGAACUCCCGAACCUAAUUUUAGUUAGUAGAUCAAAAUUUAUUUUUUUUAGGGACCUUUAAUCAAACUUAAGAGCUCUUUAAAAAAAUAGAUUUCUUCGGUGAUCAAUCACACAUAAAAAAAAAAAAAUUAAUGAUGACUCUAUUUAUUAAAUUUAAUUAUAUAUUCUCGGAUAUAUAUGUUAUGACAGGCAUCACAAUUCACAACCGAAGCUCUUGGUAGAUUGACCUGAUUAGAGUGCCCAUGUGCAUUAAUAUCACGGCAUGGAAAGGUAAAGCUUUUGCCACCAUUGAUGGCAUCCUUCGUUCAAUUGAUCUAUCGAAUUACAACUUAUUUUGUAAAAAAUAUAAAAAUAUAUAUAAUUUUAAAUUCCAAUCGUGUAAUCAUCUUUAGCGCUAAAAGAAGCAUAUUCAUAAAAUUUAAAAUUUAAUUUAAUUGAUUUUUAUAAUUAUUUUUAAAAAUAACAUUUAAUAAAUAUAUAAUUUAAAAUUUAAUACCUACAAUUUCUUUUAUUAUUUUCAAGUUACAACCUAUUUUGUAAAAAUAUGUAAAAAAAAAAAGAAGAAAAACAAAGAUAUAUUUUACUUAUGAGGUCAUGAAUAUUAAUAAAGACAAAGGUUUCCUGAUACAAUUUAAAUUUUUUUUUAAAACUUCAGCAAUACUUUCACUUAAAGGUCUUCACCAUUAAAUCCUAUAUAUAAUUCAAAGAUUUUACAAAAUUAAAAAAGAUAAACUUUCAUUGUCCAAAUCUCUUAUACGAUUUGCUCGAUUAGCAAUGACACAGACAUAUCAUAUACUUAAUUUUAUAAAGAAAAAGGAAAGAAGGAUGUUUAAGUAACAUCUCAUCCUUCUUUCAUUUUAUUUUUAUUUUUUUAUUUUUUUAUAUUUAACUUUUAUAUUUAGUUUUUUAACUUUAUUUUUUAUUAGAUGAUUAAUGGAGUUAAGAGAUGAUAGAAAAAUCUGUUUCUAAUUAAUUUUUAUUCGCAAUAAUUCAACAUAAAUGUGUUUUUUUUUAAAUUAAAAUUUAGUCGAGGUUUUUUUUUUUUCUUUUAAAUGUGAUUAGGUUAAAAAUGGAUUUAAAAUAUCCCAUUCCAACUUGAGUGUCCAUGGACACCUCAUUCUUUUUGUUUUUAUCAUUUUAUUUGUUUUUUAAUUUUUACAUUUUUUUCUUUUUUUAAAAAAUUAUUUUUAUUUUUAUUUUUUAUUAGAUAAAUUUUAUAAUAAAAAAUCCAUUGAGAUAGAGAAAACUAAAUAAUCUAUAUCCGAUAGGUUUAAAUUCAACUCGAUCUAAUUGGUGUGCUUUUUUUUUUUUAAUUUGAGAUAAUUUGGGUUGAGUUCUUUUAAAUCGAAUUCAAAUAAAAAUAACAUUUUGAGUAUUACGCCUCAACCUUAAUAUAUAAAAAUUAUUUUUAAUUAUUUAUUUAAUUCUAUUUUUAUAUAUUUUUUAUUUAAAAAUAUAAUUUAAUACUUUAAUUUUAUAAAAAUUAUAUUUAUAAAUAAUUAAAUUAUAAUUUAUAUUAAAAAUAAAUAUACUUAUAUUUGUUUAUACGUUGUCACCCAUUAAAAUUUGAUAUAAAAAUUUUACUUUUGUCAUUUUUAAAAUAUAAUUUAAAAAUAAAAAAUUAAUCUCACGUUACAAUGUGCGUCUAAUUCUAAUAUAUAUUAACAGUAACUAAUUCCUUUCCCAUUGACAAUGACCCCCACUGAUAAACAACAAAUUAGACUAAACAAACCCAAAUUAAUGUAAUUAAUUUAGUGCAAUAAUUUAUACAAUGGAGAAAGUGAAACAAAGGAGUUGUUAAAUGUGAACCUGAGUUAAAUAUUAGUAUCAUAUUUAAUAUUUUAGAUGAAAAAGUAAUCAUAUAAACAACAAUAACGCAAAAGAAUGAUUUGAUGGAAAAAAGUUGAAGCAACUUUCUUUCUUUCCUGUAGAAUAGAUUUAUUAGAAUUAGAUGGUUUUGGUUACUUUAGAAUGGUCAUUGGCCAGUUGGAGGGCGUGACCUUUCUUCUCCGUUCGUUGGAUUUUUCCUCAUUCUAGAAAUUAAUUAAUAAUAUACUCCCUUCCAUCACAUAUUUUAAUCUAGUAAUUUUCGUGCAAUUUAAGAAAAAAAUUUUAAUUUUAAUGUUUUUUUAAAUUUGAUGUGCCAUAAAUUUUAAUAUAAAAAAAUUUUAAAAAAAAGUUAAAAAAUUAUUUUGGAAUAUUAAAAAUAAGAUUUAAGUGUUAAAAAACAUUACCUUAAGUCAUUAAAAAAAUGAACAAAGAAUGAGUAUACAAUUAAAUUAGUAAGUCUUUUCUUUGCAUAGGGAAUUUUAGCAUAGUUGAUUGGUUUCAUUGACUUCCUACGUCAACUUGACCCAGUCAUUUGCUCUUAAAUUAGUGAUAUAUAAUUUGAUCAAAAUAGCCAUGUGCUUCAUAAUUAAGCUGGUCAAAAUUGGAUGAAACAUGACAUGAGUUUAGAAAUAUAUUUACUUAAGAGUAAAACAAUAGUUACAUGAAGGUUUUGAGGCAAAUUAAGUUCACAAACUUUGAUUAAAUGAAAAUUAAAGUAAAAAAUUGAAAAGAGAAUAUAGCAGUAGAAUUUCAUGAUUUGACAAAUAAUAUUAAGAAUAAGUGAAAAUGAUAUCACAAUUAAAAAGAUUAUCAUAAUCAUUCAUAGAGAACAUUAUUUAAAUAAAAUCAAUUCAACAAAACUCUAACAAUCCACAAGUUUUUAUUUAGAUUUAAUUUAAUCUUCAUUUAAUCAUUUUGAUUAAAGAGUUUCACAAUUAAUGGAGCUAUGUUACCAAUGACCUAAAGGUUGUAAGUCCUUUUAACAGAGUUUCAUUGGCUAACUUUUAGUUAUGUUCUUCUCUGUUUGGUUCCACUUAAUAAAUAAAUAUAACGAAAAAAAUGAAAAAAAUAUCAAUGAGUUUAGUUUAAUUGGAUCACAUAACAAAUUUGAAUUUUAAAUUUCAAUACUUAUAAUAAUAUUUUUUUAUUCUCAAGUUGCAACUGUUUUUGUAUAAAAAAUAUUAAUGAAUUAAUGCUUCAUUGAUUUUAGGUUUGACUCCACGCGUUUUGUCGUUUUGGCUCCACGUCGUUUUGGCUUUAAGUUAAUCAGAGGAUCCACGUCAUUUUGUCGAAACCCGACCUGACCCGAGCGUCGACCCAUUUUUUGACCCGCGCGUGCCAGCCCUCCUCCGAGCCGAGUCAAGCUGCCAAGCCGCUCCCCUCGAGCCGUUUCCCUGCCUUGAGUCGAGCCGAUAGCCGAGCCGCUCCAGGUUUUUUUUUUUUAUUAAUUAAUUAAUUAAUUUAUUAGAUUAGGUUUAUUUAAUAUUCUUUUUAUCUUUAUUUUAUUUUUUUACUUUUCUUUAUUUUUUUUAUUUUAUUUUUAUUUAUUUUUAUUAUUAUUCUCUUUUCUUUAAAUAAAAAUAAAAAAUUCCAAAAAAAAAUAUUUUUAGAGAAAAGUUGAAAGUAUCAAUUUUCCUUAAAAGAAAAAUAAAUUUCCAAAAAAUAUUUUUGGGGAAAAGUUGAAAGUAUCAAUUUUCCUUAAAAGUAAAUUUUCAAAAAAAAGAUUUUUGAGGAAAAGUUGAAAGUAUCAAUUUUCCUUGAAAAUCGAAAUUUUCAAAAAAAAUAUUUUUAGGGAAAAGUUGAAAGUAUCAAUUCUCCUUAAAAAUAAAUUUUCAAAAAAAGAAUUUUUAGGGAAAAGUUGAAAGUAUCAAUUUUCCCUACACAAGAACAAUCAUCAUUUCCUUCCUUUCUAUUUUGAUUUUGAUUUUGAUUUUUCCUUAAUUAAUCCGACGACGAAGCCUCUGCAAGUGAAGCAGUAGUUUUUCUUGCAUACUCUUGAGGUGAGAGAAUUUUCUCAAUUUUCUGCUAAAAGUAUUAGAGUCAAUUGAGAAUAAUUUUCAAUAAUUAAUUACUUGGUAAAAUUUUAAGGCUUUUUUAGAUAACAAAAAUUUAAGCUGGUACCAUUUUUUGAUGGGCGUUGUGAGGGUGCUAUAACCUUCCUCACACGUAACCGAACUCCCGAACUCUGUUCUGGUUUGCAGACCUGAACUUAUUCUUUUGGGGACCCUUAAACUUAAGUGUUCCCUAAAAGGAUAGAUUCCUUAGGUGGCCAAUCGCACCUAGAUAAAAAAGAUUGGUGGCGACUCCCUAAAAGUCAAUGUCUAGCGAUAGAUCCCCGGAUCUAGACGUUAUGACAGCUUGGCGACUCCACUGGGGACUCUGAAAGUCAGGCCAGCAAAUAAUUUGUGUUAUCCAAAAGCCUAAUAAAAUUGAACCUUUUUGUAUAUAUGUGUUAUUAUUCAUUCAUGUUUAUUUACUUUGUUAAUUAUGUCAUUCAUGUGCAUGUGCAUAACAUGAGCUCUACACCCGAGCUCCGUCCCUCUAGGAGGGAGUAAAGUACCUAUUGCUUUCGUGAGGUCUAAUGCCUCCGCAGUGGCUAGCAAAAUACUCCCACUCAAAUUGAACCUUUUUCGCUUGUAGCCUGUAAUGGGUGAGGAUUAGGAUGCCUUACUAGUCUGUGAUGGACAAGGAUAUAAGGAACAAUUUGAGGACCUUUAGACUUUGACCCUUAAAACCACAUAUAGUGAACUUUAGAAGUGCCUAACCCAUAGAUAGAGCCAUCACUCUUCCCUGUUAGAAUUAACCAAAAGCAUAGGAUUCAUCCUUUUUACUUUGUGUGAUGUUUAAAUUUAUUUAGUUAUUUAUUUUUUUUCUGGGUAUACUAACCUUUUUUUUUCUUUUGCAUUGGUCCAUAUGCAUAUCAUAAAGUUACAUAAAGAACAUUUGCUUGAAAAAAGAUCUUCAACAAAUUUUUUCAUGGACGUCAAUAAACGCUUAGUUUAUUUUUCAUCAGUAUUAGCACCCUGUGGGACACCUAAUGAAGUAAGGGCCCAGUCAAAAAAAGCUCAACUGAAGAUGGGAGAUUGCUUGCCAAUUGGAUAUGAUUCUACUCUGUCUCAAGAAACAUCUAUCCUCCUAAAACAGAAUAAUUUAGAGGAUUUGGUUGAUAUCUGAAAGAAGAUGAGUCCGUCAAAACAAGAGCAGUUUUGUCAGAAACACGGGCAUAUAACACACCUCCUAGCAGUGGUUGUUGAUGAUCAACUAAUUAGAGCUGCAACACAAUUCUGGGAUCCUACAUACAAGUGUUUCAUCUUUAACGAAGCUGAUAUGACUCCCACCAUAGAAGAAUAUUCAGUUUUGUUGGGUUUGCAUCUCAAGACUCCUGACAAGAUAUAUGUAAAAAAACAUAAGUCAGGAUUUCGUAAAAGUCUGGCUCAACUCAUGGGGAUAGACAAGGAAGUUGUGGAUUCUCACACAAAGAAGAAACAAGAACAGAUUUGCCUACCUUGGAAGUUCUUUCAUGAGUUUCUGAUGCAACAUGCCAAUGAAGAACGGGGGUUAGACAUAUUUGCCUUGGCUAUAUACGGACUGGUGAUCUUCUCAAAGGUUUUGGGACAUAUUGAGAUAGCGGUGGUUGAUUUCUUCGAGAGUGUGAUCAAUGGUUGUAAUCCUUCAACGGUAAUAUUAGCAGAGACUAUCAGAUCUUUGAGUUAUUGUCGUCGGAAUGGAGGGCGCUUCAUAGGAUGCAUACAGUUAUUGUACGUGUGGAUGAAAAGCCAUUUUGAACAAGAAAAUGGUGCUUUCUCAAAGAUUUACAUCCGUAAUCGUUUUUCGAUCAAAGAAUUCUACGAAAGUGGGUGGUCAAAACGGAAGUCCAAACAAGAAUGGAUAACUUUCUUACAAAAGUUGAAAGGUACCAGGGUGAGAUGGUUAGCCCUAUGGAUGAAUCGAGAGCCUAUGUUAUACCAAUGUGGGGAUAGUACAGUGGUUCCACUUCUGGGUUUAUGGGGAGUGACGAAUUAUGCACCACUCCUAGUGAAAAGGCAAUUGGGGGGAGAACAGUUCAUUCCUAUGACUUAUGGGCUUCAUCAGUUAGAUUUCUCUUAUAAUGAGCCUAAAGCAUUUCAGAGGAUGAAUGAGAUGAUCAAAGCAUGGAAAAAUCCUCAAAGAGUGAGUCCACGACCAUUCACUGAAAAAGUCACCCCAGGUUACUUGGUUUGAAGAGCAAAGAAAAGACAAGAAAUGGUAUUCACUUAUGAAAUCUCUCAACCACUAACAGAAGAAAAACUUGAAGAGACACCAUCAGAGUUAGAGCUGGUAACAAAAGAAUUUGAGUUUGAAAAGACCAAGUUAAAGAAAGAGAUUCAGGAACUUCAAGAAGAAAAAGCCCAAUGAAAAGGUAGAGCCGAAAGCUAUGAAGUCAAAGUUCACAAGAUUGCUAGAGAACGUGAUACAGCUACUGAAGAUCUAACAAGGUUACACCAGGAACAUAAGAGGCUAUGUGUGAGAGAAAGAGCCAAAGAGAUACCCAUUGUCGAGUUGACUGAGGAAAAUACAAGACUAAAACAAGAGUAUGACAAAUUGGAAGAAGAACGUACCAAAGCACAGGCAGAAAUUAACAUGCUAAACAGUUAUUUGAGCAGCCUAAGUCAAAGGUUGGAUGAACAAAGAGACCACAUCACUGCAUUGGCUAGAGAACAUAGAGAAUUAUCAUACCAAGUCUGGUGUGGUAAAAGAGAGAACCUAGGAAGGCAGAAAUACAUUGAGCACCUAACAACCCAAAUUCAUAAAGGGGUGUGUAAGGCAAGAGAGAUGGUGAAAGAGGCAGAAGCAUUAAGACAAGUAAUGGCCCCAGUAAGAGAACAUGGACAGCGUCUGUUGAACUUCAUAGAAGAAGCUAAGGCCCAGUAUGAACAGAUCAAACAAUUUUAUGGCUAUAAUUCUAGGACGAUAAACUCAAUGUAGAUCAAAAUUUUUUGGAAUAAAUGAAAUUUUUUAGUUGAAUACCGUUUUAAGGCAAAUGUUCUUUGCAUACAUGCAUUUUUCAUUCAUUGCAUUCUCAUUCAUUACAUUUAACAAAGUAACCAUAUGAUGAUCAUGCCAAUUUACUAAUUCUGAGAUAUGGUACUCAAAGUCCCAGGAUAGCUCCAUCUAGUGAAAACCCUGCUCAUCCAUACAACACAAGAUCCAGAGCAAGGUAAAUGGAGGAAAAAAAUUCUCAUAGAUUUUAAAAGCUAGAAAAAGCACAAGAGAAGAUUGAAAGUGAGCUAAGCAAGAUUCUGAAGGCUCUUAAUAAUAUGAAUAAAGGAAAAAGAGUUACAGAAAGUACAAGCCAGCAAAUUCCCCCAUUACAAGAAGUGGCUGAUGCUUUAUACCCUCCAGGUUUUGGCCCACCUCAGGCCCAGUCUGCCCAAGAGGUCCCCCCAUAACACUUCUCAUAUCCAACAUAUCCUGGAAUGCCAUCAGCUUUCAACCCAGGGCAGUAUAAUAGCUAUAUAAAUCCUGUCUUCACUGAAAAGGUAGUAGAACCAAUUCCUGACCUAGAUGACUUAAAGGAGAAGGAAAAAAAAAGAUGAGAGUGGAAACUGAAGAAAGUUCCAAGAUUAGCAUGCUAGAGCAAAAGCUAAGGGCUGUGGAAGGAUUUAGCUUUUAUGGGUCAGUUGAUACUGCUGGGCUCUGUCUAGUUCCUGAUGUGGUUAUUCUCCAUAAGUUUAAAGUAUCGAAAUUUGAAAAAUAUUACGGUACAAAAUGCCCCAAAACCCACAUCACCAUGUAUUGCAGGAAUAUGGCAGCUCAUGCACAUGAUGAAAAACUCUUGAUGCAUGUUUUCCAGGACAGUCUUAUUGGCUCUGCGGCCAGAUGGUAUGUUCAGCUAGAUAGGACUCGCAUUCGCUCUUGGAGCGAUAUGGCACAUGACUUUAUCAGUCAAUAUCGACAUAUCAUCGAUUUGGUCCCAGAUCGUUUGUCUUUGCAGAAUCUGGAGAAAAAGGUAAAUGAGUCUUUUAAAGAGUAUGCCCAGAGGUGGAGAGAUAUUGCUUCUCAGGUACAGCCUCCUCUGAUCGAGAAAAAAACUACAGUGCUAUUUGUUAGCACUUUAAAACCUCCCUAUUAUGAAAAGAUGAUAGGGAAUGCAACAAAAAAUUUUGUUGAUAUGGUAAUCUCGGGAGAGAUCAUUGAGAGUGCCAUCAAGAAUGGUAAGCUAGAAAGAAAUGAAGCAUCUGGCAAAAGAAUCUCGAAGAAGAAAAAAAUUGAAGCUCAGGCUGUGAGCUUUGAUAGAUAAUAGUUUAGAGGUUAUUCACCCUACCCCCCACCAGAAUAUCAGCCAUAUCACCUUAUUGUAAAUAACACUUGCUUUCACCUAUACCAACCAUUUACACAACCACCAUACCCCCAAACCUAUCAAACCUCUAAUAGACCCCAAAAUACCAUGUACAGUCCUAACAUUCAACCUGUCUCAAGACCAUAAAAUCGCCCAACUAACCCUACUGGUGGCUCGCUUGAGCAACGAACCACUCGUGAGAAACCUAUUUUUGACCCUAUUACCAUGACCUAUACGAAAUUAUACAAGGAGCUCUACAACAAUCACUUUAUUGCUCCAAGUAAAUUAGAACCCCUUAAGCCACCCUACCCUAAGUGGUAUGAUCCCAUCGCCCACUAUGAUUACCAUUAUGACAUUGCUGGUCACUCCACCGAAAAUUGCACUACCCUAAAAUACAAAGUGCAACGGUUGAUUAAGGAUGGGAUGAUUUGUUUUGAUACUGGAGGGAUGACUACGCCAAAUGUUAGUGGCAAUCCUUUGCCAACUCAUAACGUGAAUGCUAUAGGUGAAGAACAGGAGCGCCAUGUGAAGAAGGAAGUGGCAGAUAUUAAGACACCCAUGGGCCAAUUGUUUGAUGUUUUACAAAGAGCAGACAUGAUACAACUGGUAAGCUUACACAACUAUCACGGAGCAUAUAUAGCUGGUACCAGUUGUAAGUAUCAUAGUGGGGCAAUGGGCCAUUCCCUUGAAACCUGUGAGCAGUUUCACCAGGAGGUGCAAAGACUCUUGGAUUCAUACCAAAUGGAGGUCUAUGAAAAAAAAGAAAACCUGAAGAAUACUGAGGUGUACAUGACUGAUAGGCCUGAAAAGAUGUUUCCCAAACCAGUGACAAUUCAGUGUGGGAACAAACCAAAGUCAGUCAUAGAUAAACUCUUUCCCAGGCCAGUAACUUUUAAAGUCCUAACUCUUUUCCCAUAUAAAAAUGAUAAAGCUGUACCCUGGAGAUAUGGCUGUGACACUGUAGUUCAGGGACAAAAAAAAGAGGUCUCCAAAGUCGAUGCUUCCAAUAUUACUAGUGUAUGAGGCAUUACUCGAAGUGAGAGAUGUUACACCCUAAAAAUGCUAGAGAAGGCUAGAAGGGAGAAGGCUAAAGAAGGAGAAAGACAAAAUAAUCCAGAGAUAGAACCUGAAGAAGAUCAACCAAAGCCAGUAUCAGAAAGGGAGGUUUGUGAAUUCCUGAAGCUGGUAAAACAUAGCGAAUAUUCAGUUGUGGAACAGUUGAAUAAAAUGCCAGCUCAAAUCUCAUUGUUAUCACUGUUGCUGAACUCAGAGCCACACCGAAAUGCCUUGCUGAAAGUGUUGAAUCAGGCAUACGUGGCACAUAACGUGUCUGUCGAAUAUGUGAAUCACCUGGCUGGAAACUUAGUCAUGCCAAAUCAUAUUUCAUUCAGUGAUGAUGAGAUUUUUUUGAAGGGAAAGAGAAAUGCCAAGGCUCUGCAUACCACAGUCAAGUGCAAGAGCCAUAUCAUAGCUAAAGUCCUUAUCGAUAAUGGUUCUGCCAUCAAUGUCAUGCCUAUGUCAACUUUGGCAAGGCUACCCAUUGAUUAUUCUCAUAUGCGGGAUAGUCAAAUGAUUGUGAGAGCCUUUGACGAGACCAGAAAAGAAGUCCUGAGAGAUAUUGAGAUGCCAUUACAAAUUGGGCCAUGCACCUUCAAUGUAAAAUUUCAAGUGAUGGACAUCUCUCCGUCCUACAGCUGUUUAUUAGAAAGACCAUGGAUUCACAUGGCAAGAGCUGUGCCCUCUACUUUACAUCAAAAGAUCAAGUUCAAUGUAGAAGGUCAAUUGGUAAAAGUAGUUAGAAAGGAAGACAUGCUGAUGACUCAACCAUUGAACACUCUAUAUGUAGAGGCUGCUGAAGAAGCAUUGGAAUGCUCCUAUCGGUCUUUUGAAUUGGUCAAUACUGUAAGUGAAGGAUUUCAAAGUCAGUCUUUUUCAAAGAUAGUGGUGAGCCAAAUCAUCAACAAAGGUUGGUAUCCAGGACUUGAGCUAGGCAAAAAUUUACAAGGAAUUAAAGAACCUCCGACAAUAACAGACAAUAGCGACAGGGUGGGCCUAGGCUAUGAGAUGGCAGAGUGGGAAGUCAAAAGAAGGCCAUCAAGAAAGACACCAAGACUGAUGUUUAUCCCACAUUUAUAUGAAACCUUCAGACCUGGAGGAUUCAUGAACCCAGAUGCAAGGAAAAGUGUGGAAAACGAUUUUGCCCAGUUAACCAUUAAUGCUGUUAAAGAUGAAGUGAGGGUUAAUCAAGAGGAGUGGGUUCGCCUUUGUCCACCAGAUUAUGAGCUAAACAAUUGGAGUGCCAUCAAAAUGCCUUUGACUUUUGGUUUUGACACAAUGUAAUUGUAACAUCUCAAUAGCUUUUGCCCAAGGCUAUGGGGUGAUCUUUUUUUAUUUGGGCCAUUCAUCAUUUAUUAUUUUUAAUAAAAAAAAAUAGAAAGGAUGCAUUUUCAUUCAUUUCUUUUUAUGCCCUCAUUAUUUUCAUCUUUCCAAGCACAUCUUACCAACAUAUCCCAUUUCAUUCAAUUUCAGGUCUUUAAAUGAACAUGAAGAUAAUCAUGAUAACAAUUAAGAGGUUAGCUUUGAGAAUUUGAUUAAUACUGAUGAACUUGACAACGAAGAGAAUUCUAAAGAAUAUGUUAUGCCUCCGGACCUAAUGAGGAUGAUUGAACAAGAAAAUAAGCCAAUUGAGCCUCAUCAAGAGGUAGUGGACUUAGUGAAUCUGGGAGAUGAAGAAAAUAAGAAAGAGGUCAGAGUAGGCACUUCACUUUCAUCUGAAGAUAGGCAAUGAUUGGCAGACCUACUUCAAGAAUUUAUAGAUAUAUUUGCUUGGUCUUACUAGGAUAUGUCAGGAUUGAGCACAGAGAUAGUAGAGCACAGAUUAUCCUUAAAGCCAGAAUGUAAGCCAAUUCAGCAGAAACUGAGACGGAUGAAGCCCGAAAUACUGCUAAAGAUUAAAGAAGAAGUGAAGAAACAAUUUGAUGCAGGUUUUCUACAAGUGGCCAAGUAUCCAGAAUGGGUAGUCAAUAUAGUCUCGAUUUUUAAAAAAGAUGGAAAAGUACGAAUGUGUGUAGACUAUCGGGACUUGAAUAAGGCUAGCCUAAAGGAUAACUUUCCUUUGCCUCAUAUCGACACACUGGUAGAUAACACAGCUAAACAUUCGAUUUUCUCCUUUAUGGAUGGUUUCUCGGGGUGUAAUCAGAUAAAGAUGGCUGCAGAUGAUAUGGAUAAGACUACUUUUGUGACCAUGUGGGGAACCUUCUGCUACAAAGUCAUGCCUUUUGGAUUAAAGAAUGCUGGGGCAACAUAUCAAAGGGCCAUGGUAACACUCUUCCAUGACAUGAUGCAUAAAGAGAUCGAAGUGUAUGUAGAUGAUAUGAUUGCAAAGUCUUGUGGGGAUGAAGAUCAUGUCACCAGCCUCAAAAAAUUAUUUGAGAGGUUGAAAAAAUUUCAACUAAAAUUAAACCCAGCCAAGUGCACCUUUGGGGUAAAGUCAGGAAAGUUGCUAGGCUUCAUAGUCAGUGAAAGAGGAAUUGAAGUCGAUCCCGAUAAGACACGGGCCAUUCAGAAUUUGUCACCUCCUAGCACACCAAAAGAAGUUCGAGGUUUUUUGGGGAGAUUAAACUACAUUUCUCGGUUCAUCUCUCAACUUACCUACAAAUGUGAUCCCAUCUUUAAGCUUCUCCGUAAAGAUAAUCCUGAAAAUGGAAUGAAGAAUGUCAAGAGGUGUUUGAUAAAAUUAAGCAAUAUUUAUCAAACCCUCCAGUAUUGGUGCCACCUGUUCCAGGGAAACCUUUAAUCUUAUACUUAACUGUAUAUGAAAAUUCAAUGGGAUGUGUGCUGGGGCAGCAAGACAAGGCUAGUCGAAAGGAGAAAGCUAUUUACUAUCUGAGUAAAAAGUUCACAGAGUAUGAAUCCAAGUAUUCUUCAUUGAAGAAAAUGUGUUGUGCAUUAGCGUGGACUGCCAAAACACUCAGACAGUACAUGUUCUACCAUACUACGUGGCUCAUAGCGAAACUAGAUCCCAUUAAGUAUAUCUUCGAGAAGCUUUCUUUGUUUGGAAGAAUCGCUAGAUGGCAAGUAAUGCUCUCGGAAUACGAUAUCAUAUACGUGAGCCAAAAAGCAAUAAAAAGAGGUGUUAUAGCAGAAUUUCUUAUAGAUCGUGCUACUGAAGAGUAUGAGCCGAUGAAGCUAGAAUUCCCUAAUGAAGACUUAAUGACUAUUUCUCAACUGGAGGAAAUGGAGCAUAAAUGUUGGAGAAUGUACUUUGAUGGAGCUGCUAAUGCUUUGGGGCAUGGAAUUGGGGCAAUUCUGAUUUCUCUGAAAGUAUCAAUUUUCCUUAAAAAUAAAUUUCAAAAAGGGUUUUUGAGGAAAAGUUGAAAGUAUCAAUUUUCCUUAAAAGAAAAAUAAAUUUCCAAAAAAUAUUUUUAGGAAAAAGUUGAAAGUAUCAAUUUUUCUUAAAAGUAAAUUUUCAAAAAAAGGAUUUUUAAGGAAAAGUUGAAAGUAUCAAUUUUCCUUGAAAAUCGAAAUUUUCAAAAAAAAUAUUUUUAGGGAAAAGUUAAAAAUAUCAAUUCUCCUUAAAAAUAAAUUUCCAAAAAAUAUAUUUUUAGGGAAAAGUUGAAAGUAUCAAUUUUCCUUAAAAAUAAAUUUUCAAAAAAAGGAUUUUUAGGGAAAAGUUGAAAGUAUCAAUUUUCCUUAAAAAUAAAUUUCAAAAAAAUAAUUUUUGGGGAAAAGUUGAAAGUAUCAAUUUUUCCUACACAAGAACAAUCAUCAUUUCUUUUCUUUCUAUUUUGAUUUUGAUUUUCAUUUUUCCUUAAUUAAUCCGACGACGGAGCCUCUGCAAAUGAAACAGUAGUUUUUCUUGCAUACUCUUGAGGUGAGAGAAUUUUUUCAAUUUUCUGCUAAAAGUAUUAGAGUCAAUUGAGAAUAAUUUUCAAUAAUUAAUUACUUGAUAAAAUUUUAAGGCUUUUUUGGAUAACACAAAUUUAAGCUGGUACCAUCUUUUGAUGGGCGUUGUGAGGGUGCUAUAACCUUCCUCACACGUAACCGAACUCCCGAACUCUGUUCUGAUUUGCAGACCUGAACCUAUUCUUUUGGGGACCCUUAAACUUAAGUGUUCCCUAAAAGGACAGAUUCUUUAGGUGACCAAUCGCACCUAGAUAAAAAAGAUUGGUGGUGACUCCCUAAAAGUCAAUGUCUAGCGAUAGAUCCUCGAAUCUAGACGUUAUGACAACUAUAAAUAUAAAUUUUUAAUUCGACAAAUAAUAUUAAGAGUGGCAAAUAUCUUAUUUUUAUUUUUAAUUUUUUUAUUUUAUUACAUAUAUCUUAAGAGAUAUGUGACACUUUUUAAAUUUUAUUUAUGAAAUUAAAAAUUUUACUAUAAGUGUUUUCCAUAAUUUUUAAUUUUUUUUUAUCAUUUAAAAGUUUUAGAAUGAAAAUGAAGCAUGGAUGUAAAAUAAUAAAAAAAAAGAAAUGAUUACUUCUAAGUUUUGAUUCUCUUAUGAAUCCACAUCAUUACCGAUAAAAAAUAUCCUCCCAAAUCUCAACUAUGAAUUUUAUAAAAUUAAAAAAAAAAAUUAUAAGUAUCAUUAAUAAACAAAAGGAACUAUUAUCAGCCAAUAGUUUAAAAUGAAUUUCAGACCACGUCGGGAGACUUGCAUGAAUAUAUCCAAAUGAUGUCUGAUUUUGAUUGUUGCCAUUAGCAGGCUGCCGGAAACUAACCAUUAAAUUAGAGACAAAUUUUGCAAAGAUCAUUUGACAAAUAAUUUUAAAUUUUAAUAUUCAUAAAUAUGAAAGAGACCAAAAUUUUGGAUCAGAAGAUAGGACUCCUAAUCUCUUGAGGUCAUAAAAUAAUGUUUAGAUUAAAACGUGACGCUCUUUUUUUUUAACAUAAAAUAUGGUGGGAAAUUUGCUACUUCAACUCUCAGGUCAUGAUGUAGAUGAUUUACUUAAAAUUUUCUACUCAAAUAAUAUCCAACAUGUAAGUAGAGAAGAAGAGAAGUAAUCUCGUUAUCAGUUGAUGUUAAUUUCGAGAGUGGAGUUGUCCUUUUCUGUUUCCGAGAGCCACUCUUUAAUUUCUACACCAUGUCUAUUUAUCCUUUCUUCACUUCGUUAAUUUGAGAGUGACUAUACAUGAUGUUGAUGAUGCUGACGAUAUUUGAAGGGUGUCACCUUAAUCACUAAAUUAUUCUUUGCAUGUGUCAAAGAAAAUGUAAAUUAUUUUCUAGAGAAUAAAAAUGUAAGUAUUUAUGAAGCAAGUUGAAAAGAACAAAUCAUAUUAUAUGAUACAAGGUCACUUUCCGCGCAUUACUGCGGGUUUAUAUAUAUAUUUUUAAUAUUGUAUUUUAUAAAUUAUACAUGCAUUUUUUUCUGUAAGCAUAAAUUAUAUGAUAAGAUAGGAUUUCUAUGGACAGAUACCACACCAAUCGAAUCAAUAAUGGAUUCCCCGUUGAGUCCAGCCACAAACUUCACCAUCUUACAACUCACUCCUACUUACCUUGGGGCAAGCACUGGGCAAUGAAUCCUUUCUCUCUCACCACCAAGAAUGCAUAGCAAUUUGCUAAAAAAAAAUACAAACUAACGCACAACAAACAAUAAAUACAUUUCUUUAAUAAAAAAAAAAAAAACAUGUUGAAAUUUUUUUGUAAGGACAGGUUUCAUCAAAAAUAGAAGAUGUAACUUGAAUACUUACUGUUGAAUUUGCUGCAGGCGGAUUCUCCCUAAUAACAUCAUUUACGUGCAACGUUUAAAACAUUAACAUGCUUAAGCAUAUUUGACAUCUUCCUUUCCAUAAUCCAUUAAUGUAUUUUUUAUUUAUUUCCAAUUAAAAGCAAAAUUGAGUAAUUAGGUACUGAUUGUCAUCUAUAUUUACGUAAUUAGGGAGUUACUAUUAAUUUUAAAUUAGUUUUAAGCUGUGCAAUAUACGGAUAUGCAAUUAUAUAUAUAAUAUAAUUAAUAAAUUUUAUAUAAAAAAUAAAAAAUUUCAAUGUAAAAUAAUAGAAAAAUAAAAAUAUUGUAGAUCAAUAUGUACCUAUAUAAUAUAAAGAAAAAUAUAUUGUAUCUUAUCUCAUCUAAUAGUGAUAGUUAUAUAAAUUUAAAUAAUAUUUGAUUUCAAACCAUAGAAAUUUAUUCCACUUAAAAUCAAUUUUUUGUAGAAACUUUUAUUUGGUGCUGCCCCUUGCUUUGGUGCAAGACAUCUAAAACUCCCAAUAACAACAACAAAUCCUCGUCUAGGCAGUGUUCAUUCUUGCAUUGUAUUCAUAAAGGUCAAAUAAUUCAAAUUGAAUUUGAAUUAUUUGGCGAAAGAGAUUGAAAUCAUAUAUUACAUAUUAAACAUGAAUAAAAUUGUAAAUGAAAGGUAAAUAGGAGAGCAAAGACUUGUGCCAAAUUCUAACAAACUUUAAACUUAACUAAAAAAUCUCACCUCGUUUACAUCCAUUAUUAAUCAUGAAAAAAAAAUCUGACAAAAUAUUCAAGGACUAAAAACUAAAAAGAGAUAAAACAUAUGAAAUUAUUCAAUUCAAAAGUUUUUUUUUUAAAAAUUAAUAUUGAAAAUGAAUAAAUAAAUAAAUAGAGUAUGAACAUCCAUAAAAAAGUGAAUAAAAAAGAAAUAAAAUCACCCAACAAGCAUGAUAAAGAAAAAAGUUUAUAAACAUAAAAAAACAUGUAACUUGGUGAUCAAAAUUUUCUUGAUCAUAAAAAAUCAAAACAUUUGGAGGGUUUUGAAGAAUAACCUCCUAGUACUUUCAGCAUACAUAAUUCUGUAUUUAUAAUAAGAGUUUGAGAGAUUUUUAUAAAUUCUGAGUAAUUUAUGCAAAAAUUAUAAUGGGUUAUUAAUUAUUUAUGUAAUAUAUCUUUUAUUUUGAAAGGUCCACACUUAAUAUUUUGAAAAUUUUUUGUAAGACAAUAAAUUAUACCAAUUGUAAUUAAUACUUAUAUAGAAAUAAAUAUGAAAAUAUGUUUCCAUCUAAUUAGACUUUUAUUUUAGGUUUGAAUUUUUAGCAUUAUAUGCCUUAUAUAUUCAUUUAAAUUAAUAAAUACAUAAAUUAUUUCUUAAUUAAAUACAAAAAUCAUAGUCAUUAAAUGGCCAAUGCUUUCAAAGCAUAUUUCUUAUUUAUAGUAUACGUGUUUGAUGUUUAAUAAAUUAUUUCUUAAUUAAAUAAAAAAAUCAUGGUCAUUAAAUAGUCAAUGCUUUCAAAGCAUAUUUCUUAUUUAUAGUAUACGUGUCGAUAUUUAAAAUUAAGAAUUGAAUUUGGUUGAAAAUUAUUUAAAAUAAUUUAAUUGUAACACAUUUAUAAAAGGCCAGAAUAUUGGAAAUUUAUAAGAAAAUAAACAACCUAAUUUAGCCAAAUAAAUAUCUUUUAAAUUAAUAAAAUGUAUAUGAAAUCAAAUCGAAAUAACUAAGUGUAAGAUACGUGACGAUUGUUUAAAACAAUUCACAUAUAAAAAAAAAGAUUAUCCACAUUGGAUUUUUUUUUUUUUUUUACCAAAAAUUUUGGUUUUUAUAUAUUUAUAUAAAAUGGGAUGCACAACUUAUUGAUUAUAACCUGUAUACAUAAAAUCUAACAUUAUAAUGUAAGAUUGAUUUAUACAAAAUUGAAAAGAAAAUAAAUAUAAUUAAUGCAUUGAAAUAUUUUAAAAUUUUUAUGAAAUCAAAUUAAUUUAUAUCAAUUUGAAAAGAAGUAAAUACAAAUAAAUAUAUUUAAUACAAGACAUGUGGCUAUUGAUAAAGGUUGUCCACAUCAUCCACAUUAAACAUUUUCCUUUUUUGCCCAAAGUUUUUAGCAUUUAUAUAUUUAUAUAAGAUUAAAUAAGAUGUAAUUUAAGAGUUUAAUAUUAUAAUUGGAAAAAGAGAAACAUAAAAUUUUUAUAUUACGAUGGCAGUUAAAGUUUUAUUACUUUAAUAUGAAUUUAAUUGAUAGUGAUUUAAAGUAAAAAAAUUAAUAAAAAUAAUUGUAAUUAAUUUAAUUUUUUAAAAAUAACUCAAAUAAAAUAAAAUACAUGAUGCAUGGUGAUUUUCAAGAUUGUUCCCAUGUCAAUAAUAUAGGUCAUCCACAUUGAAAAUUUUCUUUUUUUAUCAAAAGUUUUAGCUUUUAUUAAUUUAUAUAAGAUGAAUAAUACAUCAAAGAAUAAGAAAUAUUUUAUACUGAAGGAAAAAAAAAAAAGAAACUGCUCUCGUUUCAAUCACAACAGCACAAUUAUAAAGAGAAAUUAUUAAUAAGAAAAAAUUUCUUAUACUCCAAAUUUAAAAAUGGAAAAGCAAAAAUAAAACCCUAACUCCCUAAUGUGCUUAUCAAUAAAAAAGCGGAAAUUGUUGAUCCUAAUAUUAACAAACUGGCAAAAUUUUAAAUGAAGUUUUUUUGUGAAAUUUGUGAAAUUCUUUAUUAUAAACAAUUAAAUAAUAUUUAAAAUUGAAAAUAAAAAAUGAUAAAUUAAAAGAUUUUAUUAUAUAGAUUAAGUGUAUAAAUUUUUAAAAAAUUUUAAUAUAUUUUUUUAUAUAGAUAUUUUUAGUAAUAUUAAUAGAAUUUUUAACGAUGAAUAAGUGUCGAUCAAAUUUGAAUUAUAAACAACAUUUUUAAUAUUUUUUUAAUAUUAUUGAUUUUCAUAUUAAACUCUAUCAAUUUAUCAUUUUGGAUAUUUUAUUAAAAUUUUUAUUAAAUCAUUUUUUAAAAAAAAUUUCACAAAGUCCACCUAAAUAACUUCAUGUAAGUUUUGUCCUAACAAACUAUCAUUAAAAAAAAAGAUAAUGUCUUAUUUAACUCUUGAAAUAUUGUAGUUUGUUAGUUUUGAUAUCUAAACUAAAAAAAUUACUAAAUAGGUACCUAAACUCUCGAAUUGUAUAUCUAUUUGAUUCUUGAGUCAACUCCAUUAGAAGAGUUAUUGACUUAGCUAUUUUAGUCAAUGAAAAGUCGUCAUUUGGACACAAAAUGAUAUGUCAAUUUAAGUUAUUGCUUACAUGUCAUGAUUAUGUGGUCAUAUAUUCUAGAGAAGGCAAUCUAACUCGAAACUAGGGGGUUUCGACCCGACCUUUUAAGAUUUUUUUUUUUAAAAUUGGGUAUCGGGUUAGGUCGGGUUGGAUAAUAUAAGAAAAAAUUUGAAGUCAGGUCGGGGUCGGGUUUUAAGCAAACCUAACCCUACCCGACUUGAUAUGUAUAAAAAUUAUUUUUUAAUUAUUUAUUUAAUUUUAUAUUUUUAUAUAUAUUUAAUUUUAUAUUUAUAUUAAAAAAUAUAUUUUAUAUUUAAAAAUAGUAUUUUAUUAAUUUUGGUCGGAUCUGAUAUGAUUUUAUAUAAUGUUGAAUCAGGUCAAUUUGGGUAUAAAAAAUAAGAAAAUUACCAUGUAGGGUUGAGUUCGGGUUUUGCAUAUAUAAAGUCGGGUCAAGUUUGAGGUGAGUAAAAAUCCGCUUUAACUCGAUCCAUUGUUACCACUAAUAUAUUCUAAAAAAAAUUAAAUCAGUAAAAAAAAUAAUUCUCCCUUAAACCGUACACCUCAAAUUCAAUACUCAUACCACCAUCCACCCCAAAUUGAAAAAACUAUGAAAUUUUAGCAAAACCAAAGCUUAUGAAUUCGAAACUGCUACCUUGUAAAAUCGAAGUUGGUGCCUUCACGAAAUCAACGACAAAUGAACCAAUUAAUCAUCCCCAUCCAUCAUCACAACCCCAUUUAACCCAUGAAAACCACCCAUGCCAGACCCUUCUCAACAAUCGAAUCAACCCAACAACCCAAAAACCGAAACCUAUGCUCACCACCAUAAAUUUUAAUAUAUUUUUUAAUUAAAAAAUUAUUUUUUUAUCCUUAUAUAUCAAUUUAAAUCUGAACUCGAGUUUGAACAUAUGAUUAAGCUCAAAAUUGAGUAUAAGAAUUAAAUUUAUAUUUUAUUAAACAAAUUUAAUUGAUCGAGUUUGAAUAAUUUGAUUUUUAUCUCAAAUCGCACUUAAAUUUAAAAAUUAAAUCUGGAUCAAAUUUGAAUCAAAUUUUAAACUAUAAAUUUUAAAUCAAAUUCAAACUUUUUAUUAUAUCGACUCAAUUCAAUUACACCCGAGAGGAUCAGUGGCAGCACGGUUAAAAGUCAAAACAUUUACACAGCUUUCGAUCUUAAAUGCACUGCUAAAAGUUUGACAUUUGACCCCUUCCACUUUAUUUUGGCCUAAGCGAUUUUUUCGUUUACUUGUAAGCUACGAUGCAACUCAAGAAGAAAAGAAAAAGUUUUAGACAUUAAAAUUUGAAUUUUAAAUUUAUUAUGUAUCAUAUUUUAAAAAUAAUUAUAUGAUUAAUUUAAAUUUUGUAUUUAAUUAUUUUUAUCACUUUGAAUCACACAACCAAUUAAAAACCAUUUGCAUGAAACAAAAAUUAUAGGAGUAAUUAAUGAACUAUUGCUUAAUCAUUUGCUUAUAGUUGUAGUAAUAAGUUAGUUUGAGUAAUUAUAAAAAGACCAAACAUCCUAUAUUUUUGCAUGAUUGAAAGAUUGACGAUAUUUCCUUAUGUUUUUUAAAGGGAAACAAAUGAAAAAGGGAAAAAAAGGAAAACUGAAAGUCUUUUCUCUUUUCCCAACAUCGUACUUCACUGAUCCCCCUUAUAUGAGUUAAAAUAUUGGGUUAAUUGAAGGGAGAAAACAUAGAAUAAAACAGAGAUGACAACAUCAAAAUUCAGUCAAGAAUUAACAAUUUUAUUAUACAACAGAUAGGAGACAUCAAACAAAACCUUUAUCACACUUUCACUAUCAGAAAUCUGGCCCUUCUCAUUCCUCCACCACCCUUUGCUGUUUUCCUAACACAAUAUACGAUAAAAUUCAAAACUGAAAAUAAAAAAUAAAUAAAUAAAGGGCAACAAGUCUAUCUCACAUGGACACUAUUGCCUGCUUAAAUUUUACAUUUCCUUCAUGAUAUGAGACGUAGAAAUUAGAGCUCUGUUGACAUGUUGUUCGUGAACUGCAAGAUAUAGUAUUAAAUUUCUCAAACUCAGCUGCAUCUGUCUCUUUUCUUGUCCCCUGUAAAAUCCCUGUCCCCUACAUGAUGGAGCAAGGGUCGUGGUGCUGGGCAUAUCCAUAUGGUGGCACCUCUUGAUACACAUAUAAAGGUUGAUUAUAUGGCCACACAUACGCCGCUGGCUUUACCUCGUCUUUCUUCUCAUCUUUCUUUUCACCACCCAUGGCACUCACGCUCACAAGCUCUGUAUGCCCCACACUCUUUCUUAGCUUGUAAAUUUUUUUUUUUUCUUCAAGCUUCGGUAUCUUUUGUAUAAAAAAUUAUCAAUGAAUUGAUAAUUUCGUGGUGUUAGAAUCGAAUUUAGAAUGAAUAAUUUUGAGUUCGAACCGCAACCGUAAUUUAAGAAAAAAAAGACUUUUUUGAUUAAAUUAAGAUAAGUGAAAAUUGUGACUUGUUAAUUUUAUUUAUAUUUGAUUGUUGGUAGUUUAAAAUGUAGUGCGUCUCACAUUGAAUAGAAAGAUUUAAUUAUUGAUAAAUAAAAUUAAUUUUUGUAUUAAUUUUAUUCAUAUUUUAAAUAAUUAUGUUUGAAUACAAAUAAUUAUCAUAUGACAAAUCGACAUAACUAUUUGAAUAUAAAUAGAUUAUUAUUUAUAAAGGUUAUGAUUAUAUAAAAUAUCAUAACCAUCUAAAUAAAAUUUUAUUUUGUUUAUUCAUUAUAAAUAAAUCUUUCAGUAUAACUAUUUUAACUGCUUCUGAUUAGAAAGUUUGGACUUUGUUGUAUCCUACAGGCAUAAUUGCCUUUAAGAAAGUUUUCUUCACGUCUUAAAACCAAAAUUUUUUUUCAGUUAUUUCUCUUCUCUUAGUUAUUUUUUUUAACAAUUGGUAGUUUAGAAUAUGAUGCAUCCUACAUUGGAUAGAAAAUUUUAAUUAUUGAUAAAUAAAAUAACUUUUGUAUUAAUUUUAUUCAUGUUUUAAAUAAUUAUAUUUGAACACAAAUAAGUAUCAUAUGAAAAUUUGUUAUAACUGUUUGAAUAUAAAUAGAUUAUUAUUUAUAAAGGUCAUGACUAUACAAAAGAUCAUAACCAUUUCGACUGCUUUUGAUUGGAGAGUUUGAGGCUUUGUUGUAUUCUAAAGUUAUAAUUACCUUUAAGAAAGUAUUUUUCACGUCUCAAAGCCAAAAAAAUUUUUCUAUUAUUUAUUUUUUUUAACAAUUUAAAAGUAAUUAUAAGACAGUUAAAUUUUAUAUAAGGAAGAUACAAGGAAAAAAUAUUGGCACGAUUUGGAGAUCAAUAUUAGAAAAGGCUCAAGGUGUUAAAGGAUUAAUGUUUUUAUGGACCAAAAUAUUAAUUUUCAUAAAAAUCUUUAUUAAAGGUAAGUAUUUUAUUUUUCGCAUAAUUGUUGGUAAAAAGAUUGACUAAAUAAGAUAAAUAUAUUAACAAUUUAUUUUAUUAGUAUAUAAAGUUAAAACACAAUAUGUAAAAUAUUAAUUACAUUGUAUAAGUUUAUGCAUAUACUGAAAUUGACUUCACAAUUGAGUUUAAUGAAUUAUAUUAUAUCUAUUUGAAAAAUCUAUAUUUAUAAAGACUAGGAUGGGAAAUAGUCUGAAAACAUAAAAAAGAAAGAUAUGAAUUGAUCUACAACCAAAAAAAUUAUCACUUAUUAUAAAGUAAUGAAUUAAAUUGGGUUCUAAUGGAAUAGCCAAUUAUUUAAUUGUCAUGUCUUGGUUAUAUAUGGAACAGGUAAAUUGUCCCAUGAUUUCUAUGAAAACAAACGAAAAUAGGUAAAGGUAAUUGCCAUGAAAAAUUAGAUAUAAGUGAAGAAUAUACGCGAAAAAUAAGAUUUGACUGUAAGAUUAGUUUUAUUUUUAAAUCAUGACACCAAAAUUGAGAUAAUAAGUUGAGUCAAGCUAUUUGUAUGGUUCUAUCUUUGUUGGUCAUUUAUAAAUCAAAUGUUGAUAUAUUUUUUUUUAAAUUUAUUAUUGGUUUAAAUUUUGACUUGUGUUCAAUUUUCAAAAAAUCAAUUAAAAUUAAAUUGAUAUAUGUGAAUAAUUAUUAUUAAGAUAUAGUGUUUCAUGGAUUAAUUAGUGGAUAAUAAACCAAAUAAUUGUUAUUAUAAAAAAUAUGGACAAUGUGACAAGUAUUUUUACUUGCUAGGUGUAUUACACUAAAAGUGAUUUUAAAAAAUAAAUUUUAUUGUGAACAAUCACAAAGUUAAAAUCAUAAAUAGCCAUCAAAGAGUUAAUCAAUCGUUACAAAAAAGCAUUGUUGCUUUUCGCAUAUGGGACAUUGAUUAAAUGAAAUGGCAUGUUAUUAAAAAAUAUUGAAGCAUUUAUCGAUUAGUAGCAUUUUGAAGGAUGCUUAUCAAUGUAUAAUUAGGCAUGUUUAUAAAUGAGAAAAAAACAUGCAAAUUCAAUGUUCUAAAUGCACCAAUACUUGCAUGUGUUGAAUUUUAUUUUGUGAUAGCAUGAAAAACAUUGGUACAGUUUGUCAUAUAUUACAAAAAUGAACAGAAUGAGAUGAAAUUUUCUUUGUUAUACAUAUCCAAUAUUAUAUAUGUUGUAUAUGAUAGGCAAACUAGAGGCGUUAAGUCUCUUUUUUAAUCAAACUCGGUUCUCCUAUUUACUUUUUAUUUUAUUAUUAAAAUAUAAAAUAUUAGAUUAUAUUAAUAUCAUAACAUUUUAAAUAUAUUUAAUAAUUAAUGAUAAAUAAAGAUAUAUUAUUUGUUAAUAAAAUAAUUUAAUCCAACUAAGCUCAAGUUUAAAAAUUCAAUGCUUGAAUUGAUAUUUUUAUUAAAAUUUAAUUUUUAAUACUUAAAUUUAAUGAUUUUUAAUAUUAAAAUUUAAAAAAUCAUAAAAUAUAUAUCUCGUCCAAGUUGAAUGUCUACCUUUUUGGGUUACUCAGACUAUGUUUGUUACUCUUACUUUUAUCUGUAUUUCAUUUUUUAAUAAAAUGGUUUUUUACUUUAUUGAUGUUAAAAAACUUAUACUUCAACAUUUUAUUAAAAUUAUUUAAAAAUACUAUAAAAAAUAUACAAUAAGAAUGACGAAUGGGAGUGAAUGUUAUCGUCAGCAGUCAUUCACAUUCCAGUCCCCGUACACGGUAGCUGUAGCUUUCACACAUUUAUUAAUUAAAAGAAAUUAGCUUUAUUGACUCGUCAAGUCUUUCUCAUAUGUUUUGCAUGUAAGAAUAGUCCUUAAGUUGAGACUUAUUUUAUUUAGGAGCAUUAUUGGUUUUUACCCUAAAUUGUUAGAAAUGAAAUAUAAAAUUAAUUAAAAAAUAAAUAAGCAGUUAGAACUUAGAAUUGAUGAGAUCGAAAUUUGUCAUAAUUAUUCACUGUGAUAUUGCUAAAAUAGAAGUGUUUAUAAACGGAAUCUCUCUUCUAGUCAAAUUCGAGCUUCCUUUGUUUCAUUUAUUUAAUUAUUAUUUUAUCAUUAAAAUAUAAAAAUAUUCUAUUAUAUUGAUAUAUAAUAUUUUAAAUAUAUUUAAGAAUUAGUAAUAACUAAUAAUAUAUUAUAUUAAUUUAUUAAUAAAAUAAUUUAAUCUAGACGAAACUCCAGUUUAAAAUAAUUGGGGAAAAAAAAAAGAAAAAACCUCCAGCUUAAAAUUCCACGGAGCUCGUUUUAAUCGUGAGUGCAUAAUUUUAUGAGGCACUGCAAAUUUUGUUUUGAUUCGGAGAUUACCUAAUCUCUCAAAGUUCUUUUGACAAAAGAUGGGCUCAAUUGAAUUACACUUCUCAAACCUUUUUUUUUUAAUUUGUUUUUAAUUUAUAUUUAAUAAAUAUAUUUUAUAUUUUAUAUUUUUUAUGUGUUGGUCUCGUUGAGAUGACAUGUGUCAAAUUUUUAUUUAUUAAUUUAUAUUUUAUAUUUUUAUAUUUUAAAUUAUUUUGUACAGUUCAUUUGAUAUUAUGUAUCAAUUUAUUUUAUUUUAUUUUCUUUUUCUUUUUUAUAUUUAUAUUUCUUUUUCUUUUUCAUUUAUCUCUUUUUUAUAUUUAAUAAAUAUAUUUUAAUUUUUAGAAACUCAUUUAAUAUUAUUGAUUAAAAACAUAUUUUUUAAUAAAUUUUUAAAUAAAAUAAAUUUGUAAAAAAAUAAUAUUAAUAAAGGCAUCUACAUGAUCUGAAUUUUUUUUCAGUCUUUUUAGUUUUUAAAAAUUAAUUAUAUAAAUUUUGUAAGAACAGUUCAUAAUUUUUAAUAAUGUGUGAUAAUUAAUUUUUUUCAUUUUGUUGUAGAUCGAUUUUUUUUAUUGGGGUUUAAAGUUUUUUAAUGCUAUAUUUAUAAAAUCAUAAAAUAUUAAUACACCCUUCCAAUUUGAUGUUUAUCUCAAAAAAUAUAUUCAUUAUUCUUUUUCUAUAUUUCAUUUAUUUUUUUUUAAUAAAAACUUAAAUUUUUUUAACAAUUUUAUUUAAAAAUUGUUAAAAAAUUUAAGAAUAACAUAAAAAAGACAUUAAAAUAAGAAUAACAUUGAUACGUGAGAGCGACCCUUCCCCUCUUCAAUUCCGUCGUAUAAAGAGAGGUCGAUUUUAGAGUGUCGUCAUUAUUCACACACGGUGAAGCCGCGAUGAAGGCUGUCGCUUUCUCGCAUUGCUGGAACUGUCAGAUUGAAGCUUUACUCAUUCAUCACGUCUUCCUCUGACUUUCUCAUUUGCAGCUUUGUAUGCUAGAAUAGUCGGCAACUUAGAUAUUUUUUAUUUUUUUAAUAUCCAUAAAUAUCCUAAUCCAAAAAUGGAUCUGCCAUUGCAUGGUUGUCAAUGUUAGAGAAAAUUUAACUUUUUUUUUUUUAAAUCUUGCUUAUUAAAUUAAAAAGAUAAUGAAACUCAAAGAUAAAAACAAAUUUAGAAUUGUUCUUCUAUAUUUAUUUAUAAAAAUUACAAUAAUAUUUAUGCAUGAAAAAAUUAUAUACACAAAAAUAUAUAUACCUAUCUAUACAUAAUUGAUUCAGGAACCCUUGCCGUUAAAUUAAAAAAAUAAUUAAUAUAAAAGAUUUUUUCCCUGAAAAAUAAUCCAUAUUAAUUAAGUGGUCGAAGGAAUCCAAACUCACAUUUAGCAUUUUGAUCCUUACCCCUGAUUUUUAUGGAAAAUGACUGUUUUACCAAACUUCACCCUUUUCCUCUUACAAAAGAUCAACUUUGUAGUUUAAAAUGAAUGGUGAAACAGGAUCUAAGAUAAUAGAGAUACAACAUCAGCAGCAGCACAAUUUUAUGUCAAAACAAGUACUUAGCUUUCAAUCUUAAAUGCACUGUUAAAAGUUUGACAUUUCACCACCUCCAACUUAUUUUGGUCCAAGUGAUUUUUUUUUUUUUGGACACAAAGUAAACUACAAUGCAAUAUGAUAUAAAAAAAACAGAUUUUAUAAUUUAAAUUUUAAAUUUAUUGUAUAUCAUAUUUUUAAAAUAAUUAUACGAAUCAUUUAAAUUUUGCAUUCAAUUAUUUCUACUACUUUGAUCCACACAACCAAUUAAAAACCAUUUGCAUGAAACAAAAAUUAUUGGAGUAAUUAAUAAACUAUUGCUUAAUCAUUGGCUUAUAGCUGUAGAAAUAAGUUAGUUUGAGUAAUUAUAAAAAGAGUAAACAUCCUAUAUUUGCAUGAUUGAAAGAUUGACGAUGUUUCCUUAUUUUUUGUAAAAGGAAACAAAUGAAAAAGAGAAAUUGAAAGUCUUCUCUCUUUUCCCAACAUGGUACUUCACUGAUUCCCCUUAUAUGAGUCAAAAUAUCUGGUUAAUUGGAGGGAGAAAACAGAGAAUAAAACAGAGACGAAGACAUAAAAAUUCAAUCAAGAAUUAACAAUUUUAUUAUGCAACAGAUAGGGGACAUCAAACAAAAACUUUAUCACUCUUUCGCUAUAAGAAAUCUAGUCCUUCUCAUUCCUCCACCACCCCUUUUUUGUUUUCCCACCACCAUAUAUGAUAAAAUUCAAACCUGAAAAAAAAAGAAAAGAAAAGAAAAGGGCAACAAGUCUUUCUUACAUGGACACUAUUGUCUGUUUAAAUUUUAAUUUUCCUUCAUAAUAUGAAACGUAGAGAUCAGAGCUCUGUUGACAUGUUGUUCGUGAACUGCAAGAUAUAGUAUUAAAUUUCUCAAGCUCAGCUGCAUCUGUCUCUUUUGUUGUCCCCUGUAAAAUCCCUGUCUCUUACAUGAUGGAGCAAGGGUCAUGGUGCUGGGUGUAUCCAUAUGAUGGCAACUCUUGAUACACAUAUAAAGGUUGAUUAUAUGGCCACACAUACGCCGCUGGCUUUACCUCGUCUUUGUUCUCAGCUUUCUUCUCAUCCUUCUUUUCACCACCCACGGCACUCACGCUUAC